rnacentral:lncRNA from 1 species
GGCGAGGACGGCCCCAGGUAAGCCUCUCCGCGUCCCUCUUUUCUUUUUCUUUUUCUUUUUCGAUUUUUCAUCGAUUCGCUUUCUGUUCUUCCCGAUCUGUUAGACGAAAAUCUAGAACCUCUGAGCUGGGGAACGAAGGCGGUGGGCCCGGCUGAGCUGGCAUACGCCGAUCGAUACGCGUUUCCUAUUCCUACUCGGAUAGUCGGAUACCGUCUACCGACAUACGUACGGUGGUUAUAAAUCCAAGGGGUACGGAGGGCCGUCCCUCCCCUCGCAUAACGCCGUUUGCUUUGCGUCAGAAAGCUCCCGCGAUUCGGCACACGGCAACGGUUCGGGCGCUCCGUCUCCUUCUCUCUUCCGUUAAAGUUUCCGCCUUUUGUUUCUUUCCUCGUUAGUCUCCGUUUAGUUCUAGUUAAUCUUCCCCGUUUACUAUAUUCUGCUAGUUUAAUCUCUUGUUAGUUUUCGCUUCCGUCUAGCUAGUCUUCAUCUUUCUUAUCUAGCUUUUUCGCAUCUAUUAAUUUUUCUCAUCUGCUAAUUUACAUUGCAAGUUAUUUUCUCAUCUAUUAUCCAUUGUCGAUCUAGUUAUCACCUUGCGCUAAUUAAAUUUUGUGUUCUUUAUCUCAUCUACUACUUGUUGUUAGUCUUCGUCACCUGUUAAUUUGUCUCGUCUAGUUUACAUUGCAACUUAAUCUCGGUUUAGCUUAUAGUCUAUUCAAGAAAAUUUCUUGCCUAGUUUCUACAUUUCGUUCAUUUCCCUUUCGUAUUGCUCUGUUCUUGUUUUCCGUUUCCGUGCACACGCCCAGCUUGCCGUUGAUGGCUGACGCUUGCACGCUGACCCCGGCGGCUGCUCUGCCGCCGUUGCUCCCAACCCCCCGCUUUUUUGCUACUGUUGCAGGCCGUGCGAGCGAGGGAUCGGCUUGGGCCGGCAACAAGAAGCCCGGUCGCGCGUCGGCGAGCGAGAGCUGGACCAAAGAUAAGCUACUCGCCCGUACCACCGCCUCGUCGAGCGUUCCAAGCCGCGCGUCCCUGAGCCAGGAUUGGACAAAGGACAAGGCCCAGCGGAAGGAGGAGACCGAGCGUGUGGGGCGAUCCUCGUCGAGGGAGGAUCCGGUCGGGCCCAAGAAGAGGACCUUGAGCCGAGCGCCGUCGGUGGAGGUCGAUCGGAGCGAGAAGAAGGCGAAGCCCGAGGAUGCAGUAGAGCCGGUGACGGUGCAGUACUACGCUGGCCCGGCGUUCCUGAAGUCGCCGGACCCGAGCGAGGUGCCACUCCCGACGAAGUUCCUGAAGCGGAAGACACCCAAGGCAGCUGAUGACAGGAAGUGAAGAAUCGCCGUUCACGAGAUAACAAUGUUGUGGAUAACAGAUUAACAUUCGAAGAGAGUUAUUAUCUAGUUUGCUCAGCUUCAUAGUACUCCUAUUUUAUGAUUUAUCAAGUUUUAUGAUAGAGUAGUGGAGUACCAGUAGUUAUGUAAUAUAUUAACAUUCGAUUACAAUUAAUCUAGUUUGCUAAGCUUCAUAGUACUCCUAUUUUAUGCUUUAUGAAAUACUAGUAGUUAUGUAAUAAAAGCUAAACGAUCGAUUAAUACGAAGCCAUCGCUCUGGUCACUUGUGCGUGUCUGUGUGGUUUCAUUCUUUCUGUCAGCAACAACCAGGAUUAGUCCAUCCAACACCAAACGAACGUGUAGUGGAAGGCCGUCUUGGUCUCCAUCCAAUGCGCAUCGUCUUCGCCUGCGGUCGCCAAUGUGCCAUGGCGCGGCGAUGCAGACUCACGCUCGCGCAUUGCGCUACGGCACACAAAUCGUAGCCCGGCGUGCACGCUGGCGGUCCGGGAUGCACGUGCACGGGCGCGCGCCGCUGAGAGGGAGCACGACGCCUCGCGCUGCGUGGGGGUGGUGGCGGGAGGAGUAGCAAGCGGGGACGGUCGCCAACCAGGCAACCAGCUCCGUACGUCGUCCCCUCGCGUGCGAGCCAAGGGCAUGUCACGCCCGCCCUCAACGUGUUCGACGGAUUGCCUCGUGGCUUGGACACAUCUAGCUUCGAUGAUGGCUCUUUGUGCCAUGAGCACCCAGCUGAUCCAAGGCCUUGACCAUAACAAAAAUGCUAUCCUGUACAUACUACAAAUAUAUGGGAGUGCCCAGCCCAACUUAGUGUUCCAAUGCUCUUUCUUUGAAUCCGAUCUUAGCUAUCAAUACAUCAUUCCAGUCAAUGAAAAUUUAUCCUCAGAUUGGUAAGGACAAGUGAUCUUAGCUAUCAAUACAUCAUUCCAGUCAAUGAAAAUUUAUCCUCAGAUUGGUAAGGACAAGUGUUGGACUGUGCAUAGCCUUUUAAUUGCAAGCAGUUACAUGCUUAUUAUCUAUAUAAACUUUAAAAAAAGUCAGGAAUGGUUCAUGAUUCUAUCCACAAUUCAUGAAUUUUGUCAGAACUUUUGGUCCAUGUGGGCUCCGACUUUGCUACUUUUGACCUAUAUGCCUGGCUUUGCCAAGAUAAGAGUCCAUAACAUGUUAUUGCAAUUGUGCUAGCAAACUCCAGUACUUCACUACCUUUUAUGUGCUUAUGUGUGUAUAUCAUCACAAAAUUACAAAGCAUCAUUUCUAACUGACACAAUUUGUCCUCUGUUUAAGUGCAAGGGUCUUAUAUUGGUAACUGUACUGUAAAUUUUCAUCUUAAUUACAGAUAUAUGUUGUUGGUAAGUGAUUUGAAAUUACUCAUCAGUUCGAUGGAGCAAUGUAAUGUUUACAAUUGCACUUUUCAGGCUUUCACAGCGGUGUGAUUCUUUUAUUGAUAUCUCCGUCUCAAUUUUUAUCUCACUGAUCAGCGAUAAAGAGUUGAUAAGUGAUUCUUAUAUGUAUCCUGCUUUCAAGAAUCAAGACACCAGUCACGCACGCAGGUGAGCCCAUCAAUCUAGCUUUUAUUUACAGACAUCUUUUGUGGUGUCUGUGUUUCAUGUUGGCAGGUAGGGCAGCCAAUCACGAAAUGUAUGUCCUUUCUCAAAAUAUGGGUGAAAUGGGUUCUACUGACCUACCUUUUCCAUCCAUAUUAGUAAGCUCUCUAUAACAUCCGUAAAAUUUACCAACCUAAAACCCUCGCUAAAAAUUUGUUUUCAAAAUCUUUUUACCGUUGAGCUCCCGAAAAUCAAAUCUCCCCAGCGAUUUCGCCGUCCCGGUGCCCAAAGCCGACAACUAUCAUUUUUAUCCUCUCCGUAAAUUUCGCCACGUGCCGGUCGACAAACCACCGCGCGUGCUCCGACCGCAUUCCGCAAUCUCCACCAUCCACUCUUUCUUUUUCCUCUCCGCAAGUCACGCCACGUGCCGGUCAGAAGACCGCCACGGCCGCUCCCGCAAAAUCCAUUGUAUCCCUCUCUACCUCUUUAACCUGUCAAAUCGAUUAAAUUCUACCUUUUUGCUCCGGACCAAAUGUGUUCUGUGGAUGCGUUGAGGGAGAGCAAUCGGACCAAAUGUUAAAAGAGGCUGCCAAUUCCAUGGUCCGAGCGCGAUCGAGCCUGUGGUGGAGCUUUGGGCCAGGCCCAUUGAAGAAAUGGGCCAGCGGCACUGCAGGUGUUUACAAGCAGUCGCAUGCACAUGGGCCUGAUGAUCGUAAAGGGAGCGGAGCCGCGUUUAGGUAUGAGGAAAGCGCCGUGCCAGCAUGGCUCUAGGAUGGGAGGAAACGAGACGAGCACCGGCCGCAUUGGACGCGGCUAGACGAGAUCGAGGCACCGAGGACGCCAGGCAGCUUCCGCUGAACCACCCACCGACACUGCAGCUGCAGGUCGGUUCAUCGCAUCACGGAUUUUCCACGAUCGUCCUCUGCACUGCACGAGCCGCACCAUGCAAGACAUGAUUUUCGUUGUGAUGGGGAGUUUUGAGUUUUGACUGCUGCAGCUAGACUAAUCGUACCUUGUGGGUUCAGCUCCUUGGGGGCAAAAAAAAAAAAAAGAACUUCAUGGAAUUCAGCAUGUAGAUAGUCGUGUAUGCAGAUGUAUACAAGUCCAGCCUAUCUUUAUUGUUAUUUGCAUCACACAAUGAAGCUUCAUGCUGAAUUUUAAAUCACGUCUCAAAUGUAGCCGCCAUGCAUGCAAGACUGGAACAGGAAAAAAAAAAAGGGAAACAAUUUCCUAAUGUGUUGGGUCGCCCAAUCCACAUGGCCACCAGAUUCAGAGGCCCAAGAUUCUCUCCUCUGUGGAGAGCAUACUAUACGGCGAGACAAGCAACCACCACCAACAAAGGAAUAGAGAGAUCGAUGACACAAGGAGACCUAAAGAUCGUCCAAGCACCAUCCUCAUCCUAGCUAAUCUUCAAGUAAAACCAUUGGCUUCUUCUACAUUUAAUUACAAGCAAACCAUAAAACAAAGGGGACGAAGCAGAAAAGGCUAGCAACAACUCUUGUACAGUAGCAAUAACCAAUGGAAGGAACAAGAAACACAGUGGUCCUUGCAGGACAGAGACAGCCAUCCCACCACCAAAUAAACCAUACGCCAGCACCAGCAGCGCACUGAAAAGGCGCCAAAAACACACCCCAACCACCGAUGCCACUAGGAAGGCACGAACAAGAACAACAAGCAGUCACGGGGGGUAGUGGGCUAGUAGUACUUAGUGGUGAAACUGGAGCCGUCCAACCAAUUCACAAAUCGAUUCCAUUUCCUUGCAUUGAUAGUUCAGAGAACUACUGGACAAAAGGAACUAUGCUGAAAACAAAGCGGAUGAAGGGGGAAGAGCUAGUGCAGAGCGAGGAAGGAGAGGAUGGCGGCGGCGAGGAAGGCGGCCAGCUGGGCGCCGGGGAGCAGGCCGGCCGCGGCGCCGUCCAUGGUGCCUGUCGGCCCCAGGCUGCUGCCCAUCCCCGUGCUCGUGCCGUUGAACCCGGUGCCCACGCCGGGGCUCAGUGUGCCCGUCGUCGCGCCGCCCACGGUCGUGGUGCCCGCCGUCGUCCCGGAAGCACUGCAUGAUAGCAUCGAUCCAUCAACAAGAGAAAAGCACUUCAGUUUCCUUUUUGGCACGGAUACUGAAGCUAAUACAUGAGUAAUAGAAAGAACACAGCCUGUUCCCCCGAAAGAGAAUGGCCUUUGUUUCCGUUUCUCUUGACCACGCUUGAAUUAUAAUCUAAACGAAAAUUUUUUAACUUCUUACUUUUUGCUUCUUGUUGUUCAAAUUUCUGAAGCGGAUUAUCGCAUAAGCGAGAAUUUAGAAAAAUAAGCAAAUCGUUUGGUGGAAUUCUCGCUUAUUUUCAUCGAUAAGUCGCUUAUAAGCGGAAACAAGCUACAAAUCCAGCAUGGCUUUCAGGAAAUCGACAAACAUGUGUGGUCGUUUGUAUCAGUGUAUGUUCAGUUGUCAUAGUCUGAUGAUUUUCUGUUGAGGAAAUCUAGGCUGUCAGACGAUUAUUGCACGACAAGCUGCAAAGCUUUCUCGUCGUUCUGUCCGUGUUGCUUCUAUUUUGUCUGCUAUACGUAAUACAGACACGACGCACAUGGGAGAAAGGCUGCCUAGCUCUUUUUAGUUGGGACGCAGCAAUCAACCUGAUGGUGGGAAGACAGUGGAUCCCUCCUUUUCAGAGAAUCGCUAGUAUGACAAAACCACAAGCCACAGGAAACACACAGGUAGAGCAUAAAAGCAUUUAUACUAGUUUGGAUUUCGUAUAGGCGUCAGGAAAGAAGCGAUUCAGCCGGCUUGCUCGAGACGAAUGCGUGUGGUCGGGUUCAAAUCGGUUGGGAAAGAUUUGGGAGGCAGCUUCAAGGCAAAGGGACAGGGGCAGGGAGCUGCAGAUGUCGCAACAAACCAACCAAUCGGUGAGGCUUGCGAUUGGUAAUUUGGUAUGCAAUGCAGACAAGCUGUAGACUGCCUGCUGUUUGCUUGCAAGUUAAUCACACCAGCUUCAUGUACAAAAUGCGGCGUAAACCCUGCUGCAUCUUGCUCCCAUUAGUAUUUAGUAGUAGCUUACUAGUGUCGGUGGACUAUGCGUGAUUAGCAGGAGGCUGAGAUGCGUUAGGUGUUGGGCACACUGAUUGCCUAAGUUGCCUCUGAGAAUCUCAAUUUGACCAUAUUCCCCGGUGGUAGGGACUAGGGGGCACAUAAUGAGCACAGUUUAUUCUACAAGAAUCUCCCUGAAAAAAAAAAUCAAGUGCUGCUAUGAAGCUAUGCCGGAGGAGCAGAGGAGGGCAAUGCCGUACCUGGCACUCGAAGGGAAAGUGCAGCCGGAGAAACCUGAAAAAAAGACGCAUCAAAAUGGUGUUCAUCGAUCACUUUGUUACUGACAGAAAUGAGAAUGAGAUGGCAAAACUGUGUACUGGGGUCGGUGGUGGAGAUGGUGGCGGCGCCGUCGAAGUCGCAGGUGGCGCCCUUGGCCUUGUUGUUCUGGUAGUAGCUGUUGGCGGCCCAGGAGCAGUGCGCGGCGACGGUGUUGGGGUUGUAGCACCCGCCGCCCAGCAGGAUGGCCGAGCAGUCGGCGUUGCCCUGGGGCCCGCACGAGAAGUCGAUCGCCUUCUGCAGCACCGUCGUCGGCUGGUCCGACCGGCACACGCAGAACUCUGCCAAGCCAAGGAAAAUCCAUACGCAUGCGUCGUCAGGGGAAGAGAGGACAGAGGAGGGACUGUAUUUUAUUGGGAGCAUGAUCCCAGGGGGAAUGGAACAACGAUAGUGUCUUGAAAAUAGAAAUGCAACGAAAAGAAGGAUGCAAAAGCUCCAACAAGUAAAUCUAACACCAAAAACUACAUCAGGAAAGCACCCUGAAAAGAAAACAAAAGAAAAGGGAAGAGAGAAAGAAUGCGUGAUACCUGAGGCAGCGAGCGUGGAGGACAAGAGGAGCACGGCGGCCGCAAGCGCUAACGCCACCUCCAUCGCGCAACCCACCGGAGAGGAGGAAGAAGCAGCAGCAACAGCAGCAGAACAGAGCAAGAAAGGAAACCGAGACGAGCUCAAAUCUCGCAAGCUUUGCGCCUCACUGGAGGAAGAAGAGAAUAGAAGAGAAGGACGAGCUGGUGGUGAGUUCCUUUCGGAUCCUAGCUGUAAGCUGGAACGUUCCUUGUGAGCCAGCGAGUUCAAUUACGAAGGGGAUCGAGGAGUGCCCGUGCAGCUCUGUACAUGCGACGCGCCGCCUAGUUAUAGUUAUAGACAGUGGGCUGGCUGGUGAGGUACUGGGUGAGUAGUGGCUGCAGGACAUGGGCGCCCAGCUCUGUCCUUGUUCGGUGCGCCGGCUGUUUCGGUGCGCCGGCUGUACGUCGGUUACUCCGAUCCAUCAGAAAUUCAGAAUCUUCCGUUCUGUUCGCUUCAGCUUAUUCAGCCAGCUUAUCGGCCACCAAACAGUGUUUUUCUCGCACAACAAAUCAGCCGUUUCAACUUUUCAGCCGGCUUAUAAGCUGAAGUGAACAGGCUCUUUGUUUUCUUUACUGCUUCCUCAAGUUACGACCAUCUGGCCGAUCUGGAUUUUUCUCCUGCUCCAGUAUUUUCCUCAUGUUCUCGAUCCUCAGCACCAGCAGCAGGCUCAGACUCAACGGUCGACUCGGAUCCUCGUCGACAGACGGAACGCCAGAUCUGCUUCCAACUCUGACCGUUCUAUUUCUGUCCCCUUUUCUAUUCUCCGACUCCUCCCUCUCCUCUUUUUUUUUAGGACUCAUCUUCUGGCCUCGCUCUCUCCUUCCACACUGCGCGACGAACCUUCUCUUUCGCGCUUCUUUAAUUUCUGGCCAAAAAGAUCCACAUGCUAACACCAACAUUGCUUUUCUUUUUCCAAAAAGAAAGAAAAUCUCCGUCGCUGAAAGUUUUUAGCACUUUAGAAUCCGUGCUAACGGGUAAGAGAAGGGGAAUUUGCUAUGCAAGCAAAACCGAAAGCGUUCCUGCAUCUUUUCUGAGUUGUCGUCCAUCUUGCAGUACCAAAGUUGCUGGCUUUCAAGCCUUUACCAAGUUCGGGCAGCCAAACUCCGGCGCACACACGUACACGGCACACGAAAAGAAGAAAAUCUGGUCGCACAGAGCUCCAACUCGUGCCGGUUUUAAAAAUGAGUUGAGGAUUCAUAUAUUUUUUUUACCAUAUGCUGUCAUCAUGUGUGAAAUUUGACAUCAAUAUAUUUUGUUGAUAUUUCCGGUCGAGGUUUAUGCAAGAAAAAAAAAGGAUAUAACUAGAUUUGUCUUGGAAACUACGGAUCAUAGCAAGCCAAAUUUGGUCAAAUAGCCCAAGUAAAUCGAUGCAAUUGCAAGCUUUAUCCAUGCAGGCAGUAGUCAUCAAACCAGUCCACAAAGUUAACUUUACUUUAGUGCUUUACGCACAAGUUCAACACAUUCCAUUAAACCCGUAGACACAACUAUAUCACAGUCUCGUAGAUGAUCUGAACUGGUCCGUCUCCAGCGCUUGCUUCAGCUGCAUUGGCAUCAGAGUCUCCAAGAUGAUCCGGGUCAAUGCCAGGCCGUUUUCACGGCCUCCAUACGACCAGACAACCCGUAACUAAGUGCACAAUGUUGCGUAACAAAUUCUCAUCAAGGUUAGUUAAGACACGAAACAAAUGGUGCGCUGUGUGGCACACUGGAUUGAAUACCACGGCCCAAAGGUCGGGCUCUAGGGAGGGCCCAAACUUAAACCAGGAAAAGUUCAAAUGUUUCCAGCAGGCCAAUCCUAUUGCAGUUGCAACGGACCUGGGCUUAGGGCCUCGGCCACGGAACCGAACAAGCUGAGGUUUUUUUUCUAUAAGGAUUCUUUUGAUAAGGAACAACAAGCUGAGGUUGGCUUGGCCAUCCAACUAAACGUCCCGGCAACAUUUCUGGUCGAAGUCAAGAACAGUGUUUGAGACAUCAAAUUUUAAGUAAAAGCAUCCACGAUACAAGAACCAUGCAUGCAAAUUAGUCCAAAAAAUUCUAAUGUGAUUAAUCUAAUGUAGGAAUUUGUCACUUUGGUGCGUAUACGAUCCAAAUUCUACCACGUCACGUAUUUGUUCACGACGGACAAUGUCAUGGCAGGCUGGGUUGUUGAUGCAUAGAUCAGCCAGGCUCCAAAAAUAUUUUCUAUUGCAUAUUUCAGAUUUAAGAAUGAAAAUAGUUCUAAAACGAUUUCAAAUUCUAAUGCACAUCGGUGCUUCUCGAACAUUAUAGUCACCUCCAUUACGUGAAAACCCUUAUCUUUUUAGACAAAUACCUAUCAUUCCAAAUUGAUAAACAGCCAACAGAGCAUGCCUAUUUCAAAACAUCCAACACACUAUGUAUUUCAUCUUAUUUCAGAUUUAUAAACAAACACACGUGUAUUUCAUAAUGUCCAGAGCUCUAUCGAUUGAUCAUGUAAAACCAACAAGCCGAGCUGAACAGAGCCUGACCCAUGUUUCCGACGAGUUGGGCCACGACCCAACCAGCCACCUCAUUGUCCUGUACACCAUGGACAAAUACUCGAUGUGGCGGGAUUUGGACCGUAUAAUAGGGUUAGUAUGUGAAAUGAUGGGUGUAUUACAUCAAUAGAAAACUCAACAUCAGAUCAAAUUAACUACUGCAAAUUGUAGCUGGCAAUUAGUCACUGAUACGGACACCAUGGGCAAUGACAUGGACAAAAUACCUCAUCAGCAACAGUGAACCAGUAUGAUUUUCCACACUCGUGGUCACAAAAAACGAGGGACGUCUUCAGCAAUUUGAGGCCUAAGAGCGAAAUGCAAAUUGGAGCAUCUAAAAUAAGAUAUAAUUUCACAUAAUUAUGUAACUUGAAUAUGUGCUAUUUCAUACAAAUAUUUAGAAACAUAUCGAAUAUUAAGUCUUCAAAAGGUAAACAUAGUACUAAUCUUGGCAAUUUCUGUAGCGGGAGUCACAACUCUACUGUCAUGACUGUGUCCAUCAUCAACAUUAACAUAUGGAGUUUCUCUAAAAAAUUCUAUCAAAAGCACCCUUCUUGAUAUUGAAUUGGUGCUUCUAAUCUUUGUUUCUUAUGUUUUUUUUAACCAGAAUCAUACUUCCUAUAUCUUGGGGGGCUGUAUUUUGGGGGGCCAUGAGCGAUCGAUCACCUCCCUCUUGGCCAUCAACGGCCCUGCCAAAAACUGACCAAUCGCUUGGGCUGGAUGCGAUCCAGCUUGGCUCGGUUCGGCUCAAUCUGGCUCGUUAGCCUAAUGAGCCAGGCUAAGCUCGUUAACAAAAAAUGAGCAAAAAGGCCAGUUCGGCUCGGCUCGUUAGUACCUUGAGCCAGCUCGUUAGGCUUGCAAGCUGAAUGUAAAUUUAAGAUUAACAUCUCAAUAUGUAUAAAAUAUUAAAAAUAGUAAUUUAUAAAAUUGUAAAGGUUAAAAUUCAUCAUGCAUGGAGCACCUCGGCUAGCUCGACUUCUUAUGUUGGACCUUUAGCCUUCUAGCUUCUAGCUCGUUUGGCUAGCGAUCUAGCUUGAGCCAGCUCGUUAGCAAAACGAGUAAAAUCAAUCGGCUCGUUAAAAAAUUUACCGAGCUGAGCUACGAACAAGCCAAGGUAGCUCGCGAGUCGCUGCUCGUCGUCCAGCCCUACCAGUCGCUGCCAUGCCUGUAGUUCUUUUGGAAUAGACGCAACCCAUAAAUCUCCAAACAAGCUUUUACGGUCGUUAUUCGCAAACUACGAUAUUUUUGGUAGGGAAAAGAAAAACGAAGAGAAGUGGCACGCAUGCCUAAGCAACGUAUCUAGCCUCGUAGGGUGUGUUUGGUUACUGGGUUGUAGUGGGUCGGAAUGGGUUCGACUCACAUUGUCCCGUGUUUGGUUGAAAAAGGAUGUGGGUUGGGUCCAACCCAGAUGGGAAUAUUCCCACGAGAUCCGGGUCCGCUGCAUUCCUCCAAAACGGAGGAACCACGCUGACCCAGAUGGACGCCGUGCUUCUCCAUCUCCGCGCUUGCCCGCACACCGGCGCGCUCGCCAGGCUCCGGGACGCGCACCCGGGGCUUGCCGUCGAGGAGGCAGGCGGCAUGAAGGAGGCGGCACUGGGCGUGGAGGAAGCGGGGGCCGGCGCGGGGCGGGGAUGGGGCGACGUUGGGCGGGGAGGAAGUGGCGCCGCGCGGGGAGGCGUCGCCGGGCAGGGAGAAGGCGGUGGCAGGCAGGGAUGAGGCGGGGGCCGGUACGGGGCGUGGAGGGAGGGAGCGGGCGGCCCGGCGGAGGUGGCGGUCGGCGCCGGGCGACGAGGAGGCGGCCGGGAGGGAGGGAGUGGGCGGCGCCCGGUGGAGGGAGAGAGCGCCGCCGGGCGCGGGCGGCGGAGCGAGUAGAGGAGCAGAGGAGGCAACCGGGAGGGAGCGAGCAGAGGAGGUGGAGGAUGAAGAAGAUGGCGUGGGAAAAAAAGAAAAGAAGAGGAUGACAUGUGGGUCCCGCAGCUAAUAGGUGGGCCCCACAACUAACGGUGUUAAAAGGACAUCCAUACCAACCCUCUCAACCUCCCCAACCAAACAAAAGACUGGGUCCAACUCAUCCCUCUCCAUCUCUCUCAUCCAAAUACGAGCUGGGUUCACUCCAACCCACAGAAAGGGGUUGGCUCCGACCCAACCCACCUUGUCCCAAAACCAAACGCAUCUGUAAGGUAGAUGCCAUCAAUAAUUGGCCAGAGGCUUCUUGACCAAGAUUGUGACGGCUCCAAAGGGGUGUUUGGAUACUAUGUGCUAAACUUUAGCAGUGUUACAUCGGAUAUUCGGAUGCUAAUUAGAAGGACUAAACAUGAGCUAAUUAUAAAACCAAUUGUAGAAUUCCUAUGCUAAUUCGCGAGACAAAUCUAUUAAGCCUAAUUAAUCCAUCAUUAGCAAAUGGUUACUGUAGCACAACAUUGUCAAAUUAUGGACUAAUUAGGCUUAAUAGAUUCGUCUCGCGAAUUAGACUCCAUCUGUGCAAUUAGUUUUAUAAUUAAUCUAUAUUUAAUACUCCUAAUUAGCAUCCAAACAUCCGACGUGACAGGUGCUAAACUUUAGCACGGGUAUCCAAACGCCCCAUAAACCAUUCCGUUUGGAAAACUCACAUCAAUCUCUAUCAGAGUCCCCACGAGUAGCUAGCUAGCUGUCUGAAUUUGACCAGGAACAAGCUAGGCCGAAAUUUCAGGCAUUUUAAAAAAGAAAUUUGCCCUAUGAAAUCUGCCACUUGUUCGAAGCACAGUUUAAAGUAACAACAAACAGACAAGGUUACGUAGCCACAUAGUGGUUAGGACACAGGAUAACGCAUAUCAGAUGUUAAUAUAAAGGCAAAGUACCACCAUUGACUCAAGUCAACCAUAUUAAACAUGAAGGAACAGGUGGAUAUAGACAUGAUUCUGAUUUCUGAACACCUACCCACCAUGCCUACCGCAACCACCAUAUAGAGGAGAAUCAAGAAGUGCAACUUGGACAUAUGAGACCUUGAGAAGCAGCCCCCCUCAUCCAAACCAUCUGUUCAGUUCAGCCAUGGCAACCUUCUUCACCAUCCUUCUGGUCCUAUUAUCACUGCUUCCCCUCCUCUCGAGUGCUGCGCCUCGCGACACUCUACUGCUGGGAUCCUCGCUCUCCGUGGAGAAGGACCAAACCGACGUCCUGCGCUCGCAGGAUGGCACUUUCACCUGCGGCUUCUACAGCAUCUACACCAACGCCUUCACCUUCUCCAUAUGGUACACCAACUCGGCGAACAAGACUGUCGUCUGGACUGCGGACCGUGGUCGCCCCGUGCACGCCAGGGGGGCGGCGGUCACGCUGCAGAAGGGCGGCGCCUUGGUUCUCACGGACUACGACGGUGCGGUGGUGUGGCAGGCCGAAGGCGGCGACUCAGCUGGCGUGCAGUAUGCUCAGCUCCUGGAUACUGGGAACCUUGUCAUGAAGAACUCCAGCGGCAUUGUUGUGUGGCAGAGCUUCGAUUCACCAACAGACACCCUGCUCCCCACCCAGCGCAUAACAGCUUCUACGAAGCUGGUCUCCACCACAGGACUGCAUGUCCCAGGUCACAACAUAUUUCAUUUCACAGACACAUCGAUAUUGUCCCUUAUGUAUGACGAUGCCGAUGUUCAUGAAAUAUAUUGGCCAGACCCUGACAAUGGAGAGUAUGAGAAUAACCGGAAUCGGUAUAACAAUACAAGGUUUGGGGGUCUAGAUGAUACCGGAAACUUCUUUUCGAGUGAUUUGCCCAACCAGCAAGCACUCGUUGCCUCCGAUCAAGGUCUUGGCAUCAAAAGAAGGCUCACUCUGGAUCCUGAUGGCAAUCUCCGGCUCUACAGCUUGAACAGUUCAGAUGGGAGAUGGUUGGUUUCCUGGAUUGCAAUGUCUCAGCCCUGCAAUAUUCAUGGCUUCUGUGGUCCAAAUGGGAUCUGCCACUACUUGCCUGCGCCUACAUGCUUGUGCCCACCGGGUUAUGCGAUGAGCAACCCUGGGAACUGGAGCCAAGGCUGUAGGCCUCUAGUAGACAUUAACUGUACUGUCGAGCAAGUGCAACCUGUCAAGUUCUUGCCACUUCCAGGCACCGACUAUUGGGGAUCCGAUCAGAUGCAUGUUGACCAGGUAUCCUUGCAAGCCUGCAAGAACAUAUGUAGGAGUGAUUGCACCUGCAAAGGCUUCAUGUACCAGCAAGGAUCAGGGUCAUGCUAUCCAAAGUCUUUCCUUUUCAAUGGGAAGGCAUUUACACCGCCUAGAAAGGCAUAUCGCAUCAUGUAUCUCAAGCUCCCCAUGAGUGUUAAUAUUUCAGGCAUCUCUGUUGCGCAAACUAAUGUGCUUGUUUCAAGAAAGUACCAUCCUGAUUGUAGACAGAUGAGCAAAACGCUGAUGGAACCAUUUCCGGAGGUUCACAAGGCCAGCCAGGGGGAAGCAAAAUGGUUUUACUUCUAUGGGUUUGCAGGUGCAAUUUUUGUUCUUGAAGUUUUCUCCAUUGCAUCAGUAUGGUGGUUCGUUUUGAGACGGGAGUUGGGAGCGUCAGAAAUACAAGCUGUUGAGGAAGGAUACAAGGUGCUGACUAGCAAUUUCAGAAGAUACAGCUACAAAGAGUUGGUGAAGGCAACCAGAAAUUUCAAAGAUGAGCUUGGAAGAGGAGGCUCAGGGAUCGUCUACAAGGGAAUCUUAGACGACAGUCGAGAAGUGGCUGUUAAGAUGCUGGAAAACGUAAGGCAAUGCGAGGAGGAGUUUCAAGCAGAAUUGCGCAUAAUUGGGAGAAUUAAUCAUAUGAAUCUCGUAAGGAUAUGGGGGUUUUGCUCUGAAAGCUGCCACAGGAUGUUGGUCACAGAGUAUAUUGAGAAUGGAUCAUUAGCUAACAUCCUAUCCAACGAAACCAUUCUGCUAGAGUGGAGGCAGAGGUUUAAUAUUGCAUUAGGUGUGGCGAAGGGGUUGGCUUAUCUUCACCAUGAAUGUCUUGAGUGGGUAAUCCACUGUGAUGUGAAGCCGGAGAACAUACUCUUGGAUCAGAAUCUAGAACCCAAGAUUGCCGACUUUGGGUUGGCGAAGCUGUUGAACAGAGGUGGCACCAAUCAGAAUGUGUCACGAGUGCGAGGAACCAUAGGCUACAUCGCUCCAGAGUGGAUCAGCAGUCUUAAGAUCACGGCCAAAGUUGACGUGUAUAGCUAUGGGGUUCUGCUUCUUGAGCUACUGUUGGGAAAACGAGUUCUUGACUUGGCUGUAGGUGCCGAUGAAGAGGUGCAUAAGGUGCUCAGGAAGCUUGUAGGAACGCUUGCUGAUAUGUUAGAUAGAAAGGAACCCUCUUCAAUUGCCGAGGUUGUGGAUUGCAGGCUGAACGGACAAUUCAACUACACACAGGUAAGAACACUGAUCAGGUUGUCAGUCUCAUGCUUGGAUGAAGACAGAAACAAAAGGCCAACUAUGGAAUCUAUAGUGCAAAUGCUACUUUUAGCUGAUGAUUCUCGCAGCAUAAGCUAGGUGAUGUUCUAGGUAAUAAAUUACCUGCAGGUGGAAACACUUAGCGGGAUGUGAGUUACUGUAAUGCAAUUAUCAGGUCACUUCAUUGCAUGGCUGCAUAUUUCUCAUAUAUGUAUGGUCAUUUCUUUGGUUUUCUAUCAAUUGCUGAUGUUCUGCAUGCCGGUAGCAAGGCAUAGUUGAUAAGUUCAUGCAGCUUCAGUUAGAUCUAAUUCAAAUUUCCUAGGAUAAGGAGUAAGAAAUUAUAAUCUCAUUCAACAGGGAUUUCUUUGCUCUAGCAUAAUAUUUCCAAGGAUAAGAGUUUGUUAUGUAUACCUUAUCUUUGGUUGGUUGUGCCUCUGUACAAGUGUACUGUUUGACGUGUAGUGUUGGCUUUCCUGAUGCAGCACAAAACACAUUCCUUGAUAAAUUAACAAGGAAUACAACAUUCACAAGCACUAUGAAGUGCACUGAAACAAUUCCAGUGCUAUUCAUUUCACUUUUGUGCCAAUAAAAAAGAAGGGAAAAUUCAUGAUCGAAUGUGCUAGUACAUGAGACAUGCAAAUGAAACGCAUGCAGGCAUAUAGCACAUAUAAGUGUCAGUAACCACAAGAAACUUCCAAUCACUUCAGAUGAGAUCAACAACAAUUAAUCAGAAAAAAAAUAUAUGUAGCACAACGAUAUGGAUGGAAAAUACUUGCUCUUCACCGAUCUAUUUAUGCUAUUCAAGACCAUUUUAGUAACUUGUUUUAGUGUAAACCAAUGAAGAAGAAAUGAAGGGCCAAUACAUGAAGUGAACACAAAAAGAAACAUAGGAGGAAGACUGGUUGAAUGUAUGUCCAGUCAAUUGAAACGAAAAUUUGUAUACAAUCCACAGAGGUUAAACAAGGAACACUGUGAGUUAUGAUCACAGAUAUAGGAUUGUAAUGCAAAUUAUACUUGGCAAAUAGGCUAUUUGCCAUUUCACACAGAAUCUAGUAUUAUGCCAUUUGAAGAGCAAUGGGACAUACCAUGCAAAUUGCAAAGGAACACAUCUAGUAAAUGAGUGAUUACACAACAGCACUGAGAGUAGGUUUGGACUCCCUGUUGUACAGAAAAGGGAGCCAUGCAUAGUAUAGUAUCUGCAACAACAAAAGCAUGGAAGUGAAAAUAUGUAGACGUUUAGUACCAAAACAGCCAUGUUGAUGGAAGCAAGAUACCAUCUUAUUAUAUGAAAAGGGGGAGUCAAAGUUGUUCGACAUGUAUAAUUUUUAAGAAUUCUGUAGGUGCACAAGUUGCAAUCGAAAGCUUAGGUGUAGAACUGUAGAUAUAUCACUGUAGAUUGAAAAGUAUCCAUACUAAUUAGAAUAGCAUUUAACUUAACAUAGUAUCUAUGAUGAAAACAGAUUAUUUAAGACAAAGGAGUGUAUAGAUAUGUUAGACAGAAUCAAUAUAAGGAGACAUCUUAAUGGCUCAUGAGUCGUACAAAUAUUUACAUGAUCCUUGAAACUAACAAAAAAAUGGACAUUAACACAACAACAAUAUGCACAAGCUCAUUGGUAAUGUCAAGCACAGUGUACAAAAUUGCCACUAGCUUCCUGAACUAUUUUGAACUAAACUAAGUCACUGAGAUCAAGAUUUCCAUCAUGGUCCUUACCAAAGCAGAGAGAGAAAGAUACUGUGGCUUCCACAGAGAAAUGACCUCAUCUUUACAAAGUGAGUAUUCUUAAGGGAACAUAGGACAAUGAUGCAAUGAGUGUCUCUGAUGACAGGGCAAUGAAACACCAUUCAAGUACAAAGACGUGCUGGAAUCGCAAGUUAAGCCCCCCCAUUAUUUCACGUGUGACUUCUCCAUGUUUUGUAGCUCAUUUUCUAGGACUUCUGACGUCUCCUGGUUGCCAAUGGUAAGCCAUUGCACUUCUGAACAGCCCUUCUGCCAAUUUUGAAUAUACCAAUUCUCGACCUCCAAUGCAAUUUGCCUGACCCUUCUCUGCAGAUAAACUGAUAUGGUGAGUUGGUGACACACAGCCACUGAGCCCCACAGGCAUUGUUUCCAGUCUCGCCAGUUCCAUAUGGAGAGUAGUAGCUAUGAUAACAAAAACAUCUGCAGUAGAAAAUGGUGAAUUGAACAAUUUGCCCACAUGCCCACAUCAGCAGGGCCACCUUCAAUAGCCGCCAGCUUGGUUGCCAAGUCGCAGCGCAAUCGGCCCAACUAUUCCCAACAAACACCACACCUGAAUCCUCUUCCGGCAAGCACCACAUCGACCAAACGCGACCACAGCAAUUUGUAUCUGAAUUUUGGGGCAUUGGUUCUUUGCAUCCCUGACUCGUUUCUGUCAUCUCAAGAAGCUGGCCGUCCUCUUCCUUGGAGCCCGCUGCUCUCGUCCUCUAGCCUUGCGCAUCUUCCAAUGGAGCCAGAAACCCGAAUAAUCGGAGCUGGAAAAUGCGCAACUGGGGUCGGCAUGGCGGCGGCCAGCGGGUAGGCCUGCGGUGGUUGGGCUGCGGAUUGGCGGCGCGCCCGGAGCACCGGCAGGGGCUGGAAAACGCCGGCGCGGCGAGGCAUUGCGAUGGUAAGGUCCCCGCUGGCUGCGGGUUUGCCAGCAGGUGGUGGUCGACGGCGGCGGCGAGUGCGCCGGCCGCGGUUUGCCGGUGAGCGGGGUUGGGGAGAGGCCUGCCGAAGCCAGCUGGCGGCCGCCGAGGGAUGGGGCAGGGUUGGCGGUUAUGGGUGGUGGUGGUCAGGGUGGGGCGGAGUGGUGCGCCGGCGAGGGGGGACGGCGGGCCGGCGAGAUGUGGGUGGGGAGCGACGGGGAGAAGGCGGUGGGCCCGCCGCGGGGGUGGGCGUGGACUGGCAUACCCGUGGGUGGGGAACGAAGGCGGUGGGCCCGGCUGGGGUGGGCGCUGAGCUGGCAUACGCCGAUCGAUACGCGUUUCCUAUUCCUACUCGGGUAGUCGGAUACCGUCAACCGACAUACGUACGGUGGUUAUAAAUCCAAGGGGUACGGAGGGCCGUCCCUCCCCUCGCAUAACGCCGUUUGCUUUGCGUCAGAAAGCUCCCGCGAUUCGGCACACGGCAACGGUUCGGGCGCUCCGUCUCCUUCUCUCUUCCGUUAAAGUUUCCGCCUUUUGUUUCUUUCCUCGUUAGUCUCCGUUUAGUUCUAGUUAAUCUUCCCCGUUUACUAUAUUCUGCUAGUUUAAUCUCUUGUUAGUUUUCGCUUCCGUCUAGCUAGUCUUCAUCUUUCUUAUCUAGCUUUUUCGCAUCUAUUAAUUUUUCUCAUCUGCUAAUUUACAUUGCAAGUUAUUUUCUCAUCUAUUAUCCAUUGUCGAUCUAGUUAUCACCUUGCGCUAAUUAAAUUCUGUGUUCUUUAUCUCAUCUACUACUUGUUGUUAGUCUUCGUCACCUGUUAAUUUGUCUCGUCUAGUUUACAUUGCAACUUAAUCUCGGUUUAGCUUAUAGUCUAUUCAAGAAAAUUUCUUGCCUAGUUUCUACAUUUCGUUCAUUUCCCUUUCGUAUUGCUCUGUUCUUGUUUUCCGUUUCCGUGCACACGCGCAGCUUGCCGUUGAUGGCUGACGCUUGCACGCUGACCCCGGCGGCUGCUCUGCCGCCGUUGCUCCCAACCCCCCGCUUUUUUUCUACUGUUGCAGGCCGUGCGAGCGAGGGAUCGGCUUGGGCCGGCAACAAGAAGCCCGGUCGCGCGUCGGCGAGCGAGAGCUGGACCAAAGAUAAGCUACUCGCCCGUACCACCGCCUCGUCGAGCGUUCCAAGCCGCGCGUCCCUGAGCCAGGAUUGGACAAAGGACAAGGCCCAGCGGAAGGAGGAGACCGAGCGUGUGGGGCGAUCCUCGUCGAGGGAGGAUCCGGUCGGGCCCAAGAAGAGGACCUUGAGCCGAGCGCCGUCGGUGGAGGUCGAUCGGAGCGAGAAGAAGGCGAAGCCCGAGGAUGCAGUAGAGCCGGUGACGGUGCAGUACUACGCUGGCCCGGCGUUCCUGAAGUCGCCGGACCCGAGCGAGGUGCCACUCCCGACGAAGUUCCUGAAGCGGAAGACACCCAAGGCAGCUGAUGACAGGAAGUGAAGAAUCGCCGUUCACGAGAUAACAAUGUUGUGGAUAACAGAUUAACAUUCGAAGAGAGUUAUUAUAAUUAAUCUAGUUUGCUCAGCUUCAUAGUACUCCUAUUUUAUGAUCUAUCAAGUUUUAUGAUAGAGUAGUGGAGUACCAGUAGUUAUGUAAUAAAUGCUAUACAAUCGAUUAAUACGAAGUCAUCGCUCUGGUCAGUUGUGCGUGUCUGUGUGUUUUCCAUUCUUUCUGUCAGUAAUAACAAUUGAGACAAACGUGUAGUGGAAGGCCGUCUUGGUCUCCAUCCAAUGCGCAUCGUCUUCGCCUGCGGUCGCCAAUGUGCCAUGGCGCGGCGAUGCAGACUCACGCUCGCGCAUUGCGCCGCGCCACACAAAUCGUAGCCCGGCGUGCACGCCGGCGGUCCGGGAUGUACGUGCACGGGCGCGCGCCGCUGAGAGGGAGCACGACGCCUCGCGCUGCGUGGGGGUGGCGGCGGGAGGAGUAGCAAGCAGGGACGGUCGCCAACCAGGCAAUCAGCUCCGUACCUCGUCCCCUCGCCCGCCCCGCACGAGAGACUGGAGCGUGCGAGCCAAGGGCAUGUCACGCCCGCCCUCAACGUGUUCGACGGAUUGCCUCGUCGCGCCUGGCUGGUCGCCUCGUCGCUUCCCCUCAUCGUCUCAGCCGCGCCGCGCGCGGCGGCGCCGGGGGACAAAGACCGGGCUCGUGGCACGAUGACAGCAAGCGGGCGCUACCGGUGGCCCGUCGACCCAGACUCCCAAGGUGGCGGGCGGAGCUCAACUGGCUGGCGCGUGGAAGUCCCCGGCGUUCGUCCUACCUGGUACGUACGUUUCUGCUGGCACGAAUUGGCGGCUCAAAGGGCCCGCGUGUUGGUAACUAUUGUCAGCCGGCGUUGCUCUCUAACCCCUUUACCUCGCACCGUGUUUCCAUCAUUGGCAGAGAGUGCACUGUGCCCAGUUGGUUCUUGGCCCUGCCUCGGUAAACGCAGAGAAAAUUUGGCCACAAUGCUUUGGGAUUUCAGGACUUUAAAGGAACCUAAUGUUUUACGUUCAAAAUGCUCUAUAGUGCUGCCAACAUUCGACAUUCAACAUAGUCAAUUAGUCAUUGUCUUUUCCAAACUUUGCAACUACAGGAGGAGUUUCACUUUGAAUAGGUUCAUAUUGGAUCAAAUCUACACUCAAUAGUGCUUUGCUUUGCAUACAUAUAUUCAAGUAUUAUAGUGAUGUUUUAUUGAAGAAGCAGCAAGCCAGUGACGCCCGCCCGCCUUAUUCUGCUGGUAUAACUUGUCGCGUGACCGCAACAUUGCUGCUGCCACGUAGUUGAAUUCUGUUUAUAUUACUGAGAUGCUAUAGGUCAAAUUAACAAACGGAUUAUUGCUUUGAUUUGCAUACUUUUCUAUGAAAUUUUAAUUGCAGACAAAAUACAUAGUAGAUAUGGUGCGGCUUCUAUUGGGUAAACAUCCAUUGGAGGGAAGCUGGACGGCAAUGACUUGGAGGUAGAACUGCGCUAAUGGAAGAGAGUGCUUGAGGGAGGAUGGGACUCGGGAGAGAAGAUGUUAGGCAUAUGGAUUACGUGUGGUGGUAAGACAUUUUUCUUCAAAACACUGAAAAUAAAGCUGUUUAAUUAGGUUAUUGGUUAUUUGGUUUUGAAUUUGACAGAUGUAGAUGGGAAUUAUGUUCGAUUUAUUCUUGCUUUCCUUCCCACAUUGCAUAGGUGGUCAUUCUACAGCCUUCCAGGACUCCACUAUCAAUAACUAACCAAAUCUGCUAACAACCUUAUCUAAUCAAGACUUGGACCUGAAGGCAACUAGGGAUAAGGAUCACUUUGGAUCCUGUCGUGCAGCAUCAGCUGGCUUGGACACAUCUAGCUUCGAUGAUGGCUCUUUGUGCCAUGAGCACCCAGCUGAUCCAAGGCCUUGACCAUAACAAAAAUGCUAUCCUGUACAUACUACAAAUAUAUGGGAGUGCCCAGCCCAACUUAGUGUUCCGAUGCUCUUUCUUUGAAUCCGAUCUUAGCUAUCAAUACAUCAUUUCAGUCAAUGAAAUUUUAUCCUCAAGGACAAGUGUUGGACUGUGCAUAGCCUCUUAAUUGCAAGCAGUUACAUGCUUAUUAUCUAUAUAAACUUAAAAAAAAGCCAUUAAUGGUUCAUGAUUCUGUCCACAAUUCAUGAAUUUUGUCAGAACUUUUGGUCCAUGUGGGCUCAGACUUUGCUACUUUUGACCUAUAUGCCUGGCUUUGCCAAGAUAAGAGUCCAUAACAUGUUACUGCAAUUGUGCUAGCAAACUCCAGUACUUCACUACCUUUUAUCUGCUUCUGUGUGUAUAUCUUCACAAAAUUACAAAGCAUCAUUUCUAACUGACACAAUUUGUCCUCUGUUUAAGUGCAAGGGUCUUAUAUUGGUAACUGUACUGUAAAUUUUCAUCUUGAUUACAGAUAUAUGUUGUUGGUAAGUGAUUUGAAAUUACUCGUCAGUUCGAUGGAGCAAUGUAAUAUUUGCAAUUGCACUUUUCAGGCUUUCACAGCGGUGUGAUUUCUUUUAUUGAUAUCUCCGUCUGAAUUUUUAUCUCACUGAUUAGCAAUAAAAAGUUGAUAAGUGAUUCUUAUAUGUAUCCUGCUUUCAAGAAUCAAGAUACCAGUCAGGCACGCAGGUGAGCCCAUCAAUCUAGCUUUUGUUUACAGACAUCUUUUGUGGUGUCUGUGUUUCCUGUUGGCAGGUAGGGCAGCCGAUCACGAAAUGUAUGUCCUUUCUCAAAAUAUGGGUGAAAUGGGUUCUACUGACCUACCUUUUCCAUCCAUAUUAGUCAGCUUUCACUACAUAAACUGAUAAACCACUAUUGGUAUCACAGUAAAUAAGUCAUUCUCAUCAUAAUAAAUAGGGCCCUCAGGUUAGAGGAUAACUCCUGAGACCCGCUUCUUUGGCUGGUGGAGGAGAACUUUCUUGGCUGUUCAGAAGGAAAUGCGUAAGGGCCUUGAUUCUUUGAUAAUUUUGGUCACAUGGGAGAUUUGGAAACACAAAAAUGAUUGUGUUUUCGAAAAGGUUAGGCCAACAAUUCAGGAAGUCCUUAGGGCCAUAAGCAAUGAGGGAGGCCUAUGGUGUAUGGCAGGGGCUUCCAGGCUUCAAGAGUUACUGUCCAGGUCGCCACCCCUAGGAGUGUAGGCUUUGUACUUCUGGUCGCCUCUUCAUACUUCUAGUGCAGCCUUAGUUUUGUUGCUGCUGGGGUGUGUGAGUUUGUGGGUGUGUGUGUUCUUGUACCUGGGUAGGGGCUACCCAAUCCUUUUUGUUUUCUCCUACCUUAAUGAAAUGAUGCGCAACUCUCCUGCGUAGUUCGAGAAAAAAAGUUAGAGAAUAACAAAAAAAAAGGGACUACUGAGGCCAUUGCUACGUGGGUCAUCUGAGACACUCAGAUACAACAGAAAUGGAAAUAAAAGGAAAGGAGAAUGACUUAACAAUAUUUAGUAGCUUGUUUUGCUAAGUGGUUCUGCCAUAAACGAUAAGAUCCGCUUUUGAUUGCAUUCUGGAUUUUGCUAGUUAAUGUACUGCACUCAAUGUUGCUUUAUCAUGUCAAAUCUUUUUGAGCACUGUAGUUGCUAGAGACACUGCUAUGGAAGUCAACAUUUUUUGCUUCUCUUGUCCUAAUGUGAUGCACAAAAAAGAGUUUAACUGAGACACAACAAAUUAAAAGGGGAUUUGAUGUGAAAGGGUGUCUCAGUCGGUGAAAACAAUUGUACUACUGUAACCAAAUUUGACCAUAUCUGCUAAGUUACUUCUGUAGUCUUGUUAAGGGUCAUUUUUCUCUUGUUGAUGCAUUGAGUUUGCCACUAGGAGUUAAUGCUGUACCUUUUCCUAAACUACAAUGAGGUGAAAUUUGAACAGGAAAGUAGCAAUCAGCUCUAGGAUCUGGUAUUCUAUCCUUCACAGUAAUGUAUGGGCUCAUUUUGUUGUAAUGUGUUGUCUCAGAAGCCAGCUAUUUCAAGUAGUGCUUCUCUAGUAUACAUUAUUAUUUCGGAACAUUGGGAUUUUCGCUUCUUCAGAAAUUGUUGUUUCAGAAAUUAUUAUCGUUUUUUUGUAAUUUUUUUCCAGAAAUUAAGUCAUGACUAAACUUAGUGGUUUACCUAGUGUUUUUUUUCCAAGUAAUGAUAUCCUGUAAGUUCUAAACGGUGCCUAAACUUAGUAGUUUGCCUAGUGUUUAUUUCUGCUUUUAUCCAUGCUUGUGUAUUUGAUUAGAUCGUUAUUCUAUUAUAUGCUAACAGCUUGCUCCAUCCUCAUUAUUUUUUCUUAAACGUUAAACUUCCCUUUUAAUAUUCCAUAUCAUGACUAUCAUUUAUUCCUUUUGCGUCACUGCACAGGAAUUUCUUAGUGGCAAUGAUUUUUUGUUCAGUACACUGUAACAAGGCAUAAUGGAGAGCGGUUUGACUUUUAGUUAGGUAAUAAUCUGCUUUUUGUUAUUGGUGGAUGUAUACAGACAUAAUAUGCUGUGCCACGAUCACUAGUAAAAAAAAAGAAAAUAAAUGAGUCAAAACUAGUCUGUGGAAACAUAAUGUUCCUUUAUUCUUAUUAGCCUAAAGAUGUGGAUUGACAGUCCACCAAAUCACCAACCAUUGUUUCUGCCCAUAGUUUUCUUUACAGGAAUCCUGCCCAUAGUUUCCUUGAUCACUUUCACUAUGUACUAUGCAGUUUCUUUUAUGCAAAGUGUCUUGAUACCAACUGAUCUGCCCACAAGCUGGAGUGCCAGACCCUUCAUUUUUAAGGUACAUGUAAUUUUUACAUAUGCUAUUUGAACUUUGGGCCCAGCAAGUAUUGUACUAGUUAUGUGUGUCUUUAGUCCAAAGGAAAAUGAUGAUGGGUGCUUAUCCUUAAAAUCGUGAUGUCCAUGUUAUUGGAACUUCACAAACCAGUUCCUCUAUUUUCAUUUGCCCUUUCUUUUGUCGAUUCGAAUGUAUUUUCAACUAGUAUUUUGCCACUGCGCUCAUGUUCUGUCCUUUUCUCUUCUAAGAGGAUGCUAAUGUUCUGUCUUGAUUGUACCACAUUGCAUGUUGCAAGAGCAUCAAACAGAAUAUUCUAUUUACUCCAUAUUUUGAUUUAAUUUUUUUAUUCUUUUUUAUGCACUUGGCUGUUGGACUUUCUUCAAGAGAGCAUUGGCACGAACCCAACACAUAUAAUUUUAAUCGUAACAUGUUGGAUGCAUACCUACAAGACAACAACUAAACUUUUGAUACUUUUUUUCUCCAGGAUCUGAUCAAAUGAAACUGAAAUGGUAAAGUGAGAGCCCACUGCUUCACUUUGAUCCAGCAAUUAUUUCUGGAUUAUACAAAGUAGUUGGUAGUGGAGCUAAAUAAAGUUUGAGAAUGACAGUUCUGCCCAUUGUAUCCUCUAGAAAAAGAGGUCUAGCAUACUGUGUCAUUUUUCUUAAGAAAAUUUGUAUCACUACAAAAAGAAUAACUUUUAUAGAACUGCUACUAGGACUUUUCUUUUGUCAGUAUUGCUUGCAUGACAGUGCAUAUUAUCGAAGGCAAUGCAGUUGGAUAGCUAGUUCUGUAUUUUAAAUUUAAGUCUUUAAUACAAAGGAUAAUUAAGGGUUUCUUAAAAAUCUUGAGACUAUAUGGUACAGGUAACUAGAUAAUUUGUUGCAAUCUGGAAUGGAAGUACUGAAGCUGACAACCAAAUCGAUGGCUUGGUUUCAAGUCCCUUCUGUACAUCAACUUCUUUUGGCCAAGCCACAACAAAUUUGUGGCUCCACUAGACAAGCUUAUGAUAAGAGUUGUCACACCAUACACGCCUCUUGUCUCAUUUUAUGCAAGGAUACAGAUGGUAUGACUUAGAUGGGAAUAAAAAACAAAGAUGAAUCAUACUAGAAGGUAUUUUGUUCUCUAUUUGCGGCGAAAGAAGGUUAAAAAAAUGCUUACAUAAACAAUUUAUUUAUUUACUUGAUGUCAGUAAGUUUGUGCCUAGUUCUUUUUCAGAUUGCAUUUUUUUAGUGAAUCUUUCUUUAAACCAUGAUAGACUUGUUUUUACCUGAUAUCCUGAUUUCAAUGAAAUAUUGACAUAUUGGCCAGAUUAAUGGUUGAUGUGUUUUCACCUAAAGAGAAGGCCACCAAUCAUAAGGCGAAAGAUUGUGAAGUUUAACUGAAAUAAUGAUGUGCUCUGUAGUGGCAGCACGUACCGAUUUUUGAACUCUUUUGUUGCUUCCUGGGGCGCUGAAAAUGACGGACUAUUUGGCUUUUCCUAACCUAUCCGCAGCUGUGCUUGCAUGAUCAGGUACUGACAAGGCAAAUUUUAUUUUGGCCGGAUAGCUAUAGUCAAUUUUUAAGUGAUGUGUUGGGUUCACUUUCAUAGAUCUUUUGGCAUUGCUUUCCGGUACGUCGUUAGUCUAGACCACACAACCAGAAAAAUCUUCUUGAAUUGUAGUUUUAAGCAAACAUCGACUGCAUAGCACUGUUCAUGAUCAUUAUCACUAAAUCUUGUCCUGGCAUGUAAAUGAUUGAGAAUGCAUGUAAGUGCCUAUCCACACCCAGUAAGGUAGUAGUAAGAAUUGAAGUAGUGAUAUUUGUAAAGUAUGGCCACGUGUUUGCUCUUAGCCAGCCAACUGAUGAUUCAGCGAGUAAAGCACCCAAUUAUUCGCUGCCCCUCUUCCAGUUCACUGUGACAAACAUUUCAUCCUCUAUUCAGGUAAUUGCAGUAUGUUGCUUGUUGUUUUACCACUUCUGCUCUUCCGAGUUAGGAUUAAUUUCACUCCUUCAACGUGUAUUUUUUAACUGGUGUAGCCUCAGAGUCAGAUCGGUCUCCCUCCUCUUUUUUUUUAUUUUAAAGAACGUCUCCUUCCACCUUAUCCUCGGUAAAGAAUGAAGAAAGGUUGUACAUCUCUUUCUCUGUAAAGGUGAUACAGUCCCAACCCAAAACACAAUAGUUUCCAUCAUAGAAAUUAGUACUAGAUACUACUCUUCCAAUACAAACACCACUAUUCCAUACUUGAAUUUAAUGCUACUCAUCUCUCAUUAUGUCUUGGAUGGUGUGUAGAAACUAGGUCUCAUGCAAGACCUGAUUUUCUUAUUUUUCUUCAUUUACUCCCUUGCCACAUCAUCUUUUAUCCUACUAAUUCUAUGGACAUCAUCCUAGUCAUUGGGUUGGGACUGUCCUAAGGGCGUCUCCAACGGAUGUGCAUUGAGGUAGUGGAAACGAUUUUAUAUGCAAUAAAUAGUUGAAUUAUUGCAACGCUGGUGUAGGAUCAAGCGAUAGUUUCGCACAGCUUACAACACUACUCUCUGGACCUGUUUGGUUAUGGUUGCUUAUUCAUAAGCAACUUAAAAAUAAGCAAAUAAGUUGCUUAUAAUCCAAACACUCUUGCUUAUAGAGUUGCUUAUAAGUUGCUUAUGCAUAAGCAAAUAAGCAAGUUUUGAGUUGCUUAUGGUUGCUUAUGGGACACUUUUACACCCCCUACCCUCAUUCUCUCUCCUCUCUCCCCUUUCUCUCUCCUCUCUCCCGUCACCACUGUCUGGCGCCGCUUCCGCCGGCUGCCGGCCGCCUGUGCGCCGCCCGCCCGCCCGCCGCCGCCGCUCCCGUCGCCCGCCGCCGCUCCCGCCCGCCUGCCGCCUGCUCGCCGCCCGCUUCCGCGCCGCUAGCUGCCCGCUCCCGCGCCGCCCGCCGCCGCUCCCGCCCGCCCACCGCCGCCGCUCCCGCCCGCCCGCCGCCCGCUCGCCGCCCGCCUCCGCGCCACUCGCCCCCCGCUCCCGCGCCGCCCGCCGGUAGUCCUGGAUCCAAAGUCAACCGCCGCCCGCUCGCCGCCCGCCUCCUCCCGCUCCCGUGCUCUUCUUCUAAUCCUGCGGAGGCGUGUAGCUCGUCAGUCGUCUACCUCCGACCAAGAUCUGGGAGCAGCAGGCGUCGCGACUCCCGACGCGUCCUUCUCGCAUCCAACCUUUCUCCUCCUCCCGCGCCGUCGCUGGAUCUGGACGAGCGGAGGGGCGCCCGCUAUACGAAUCGAGCCUUCGGCGCCCGUCGGGGGAGAAGCAGGCGGCGCGUCCAGUGGGCUCGAGCCCGCCGCCCAUUUUCCAUCUCGCCGGCUGCUCCCGCCCGCCGCCGCCGCUCCUACCCGCCCGCUGCCCGCCCGCCUCCGCGCCGCGCGCCUGCCGCCGGCCGCCCGCCGCUCGCGCCCCGCGGCCGCCGCCGGCCGCCCGCCGCUCGCACCCUGCCGCUGCCCAAACCAAGGGGUAGGAGCUGGGUAAUUAUCAGGGGUAGAGGAAAAUGGGAUGGCAGGGGUAAAUAUGUCAAUACCAAUCAUAUAAGCAACCCAAACCAAACACCUAGACUUAUAAAUAAGCAACUACAAUAAGCAACUUAAGCAACUUAUAAAUAAGCACCCAUAACCAAACAGGCCCACAGCACCGUUUUCCGAUACAACUGUUCCUUGCACCUCCCUGCUGUAUAAGCUAUCAUCUAUCUUAUAUUGUUGGAGAUGGCCUAAGGACCACAAAUGCACUAGGGAUGGCGUAGCUAGGAUUUCAUGAUAGGGUGGUCCAAUUUAACAAAUGGAGAUAGGGUUGGAGUUAACUGGAUGGAAUUAGCUGCUGCUUGCUACCGGAUGGAGUUAGCUGUUGCUUGUCACCGGCCAUCCACCUACAACCGCCAUCUGCAUAUACCACUAGGGAUACGAAAAGAAAUGACAUGAACAGAAGAGAUGCUGAUAAAAACCAAGGCAUAAGGGAUUUUUGGACAAAAUUUUAGGGUGGUCCAUAGCCCACCCGGACCACCCUCUGGCUCCGCCCAUCCUAGGGGCUGAACGUACGCAGAUGAGUACAAUUAAUUUCAGUCGCUUCAGGCAACGAUUGAUGCUUCCACGUCAUGAAGACCUGGCGAAUUACUUCUCCCUCAAACAUUUCAAAAGAAACAUGUACGAGACCCCUUCACUUUCGAAACAGCUGAAGGUUGGCUCAACCAGGAAAGUACACUGGACGGGGAAACGCCAAAGGGGCAGAAGAAGAAUUUCACACCUGGAAAUGCCAGAGGGGCAUAAGAAUAAUUUCACACCUGGAAAUGCCAGAGGGGCAGAAGAGGAGUUUCACACCAGGAUUUCUGGUUGGAACACAGUCGAAGGGCUUGUUUGAACGUUCUAGCUUAAAAAAAACUAUAGUAUUAAGAAGCUCUACUUUAGAAAUUAAGGAUAUGUAAAAAAACAAGAUUUAGAAAAAGAGGUUUUGAGUAGAAACUGUAAAAAGAAAUAAUAUAGCUACCAUUGUUUUAAAAACUAGCUAGUCCGUCCAUUUUUAAAUGUAAGACGUUUUACUUUUGUACUAAAUCGGAUUUCUCUAACUUUAUUUAUAGAUAAAUGCACCAAGACCUACAACAUCAAGUUAUUUUCAUUAAAUCCAUCAUUGAGUAUUUUUUAGUAGUGCAUUUUUUUUGUAUUGUGGACCUUAAUAUAUUUUUCUAUAUUUUUUAAUCAAAGAGUAAGAAGUUGAACAUAGUGUACAAGAUUUGUUACAUUCAAAGAUCUUAUAGACUUUUGAAACUAAGGUAUUUUGCAAAUAAAAGUAUCACAUGUGCAAUAAUACUUAAUAAUGUUGGUCCUUCACCACCUCACCAUUUUUCCCACCGACUAUUUUUGUCCAUUUUAACCACGAAUUCCUUUCUUUGUAGGGAAAAUACUCGGUGCAAACCACUUAUUUGGUGGAAUCAUUAAAACCUUUCUAAAAACCACACUUAAAUUUUUAAAAAUAUUUAAACUAAAAAAAUUAAAAUAUAUAAAGCGAGGCAGCACAUCUAUAGUGCAUCUAUACAUUUAAUUUUCUGCAGUUCUUCAGAUGCAAACUCAUUCUAAGAAAAAAUCAUACAAAAAAAUUGUGUGAAAUUUUCUAGAUUAGAUUUGCAUCUCAACUUUUUACAAUAGCGUAUAUGUAUAUGGAUGCACUGUAGAUAUGUGUCGUUUCAAUUUUUUUUGAAUUUUUUUAAUAUACCUUUUAGAGAGGUUGUCAAGAUUCCACAUAUCGCUCAAAGUUUUGGAGGCCUGCCACAGCUUCUGCGGUGCCCGUCGGUAGCCAGACGUGUAGCUCUCCCACCCAGCCCGACGUGUAGCUCUCCCGGGCCGGUUCUUUAUUAUUAGCCAGCAAGGUGUGAAGAGUCCACGGAAUUCCUACCGUCGCGCAUGCCUCUUCUCCCUUGCAUACAUAUAUGGUUCAAAGUCUUUUCGGAACAUGUGAUUAUCUUUUUUUCCCCCCAAAUCAUGCAAAAACAAAAAGAGAUGGUAAAUUUCAUGUAAAGCUCCCGUAAAACUCCUGCAUUCGUUUUUUUUAAAGGUAAAACUCCUGCAUUCUGAAAUGAGGAGCCUGAAAAACGAGGCACAUCAAAACAAACAGCUGCAGCAUCCAGCCAUGGGUCGCAGUCCAGCUAGGAGAGAGAUCACCUGUGGAUCGCUCCUUCUAGAGAAGCUUUUGGGCGUCGAGAUAAGGAUCAGCACAACCCGCACGUACGGCUGCUGCAGCUAGGUCCCCCAAACCCAGAGUUCCUGCCUUCCUUAAUCCCAGGCCAGGCCAGGCUCCCCACGCGCAGCCACAGGCGAUAGGGAGAGACGGGACGACGCCACAAGAAAACAACAAGAAAUCCGCCGCGGAAUUCCGGAUUAAAAUAAGGGUUCGUGCUCUUGCUCCGGUGAUGUCACUCACCCGCUGCCUCUCUCCAAUUCUUUUUUCUUCCCCUGCAAAAUUUAUGCUCAUGCUCACCCUGCUCGAGCGAGAGCAUACGCGCAUAUAUAAAGGGCUCCUCAUGCCUGCGUUCUUGCUUCCCCCGGUUUCCUUUUUAUUCUUGUGCGCUAUUCUCUUGUGGGAAGGAAGAGAAGAGGGCUGGCUGCGCGGCAGCGAAUGCUUAGCUCAGGUAGGGUUCUUGGGGCCUGGGGUUUCUUCUUGCUCUGUUCCGUGAUCUUGGGAGCGGUCCUUGAUUUGGGGUGCAAGAACCGAGAAGCACUCGCAAUUGCGUUCUUGCUUAUUGCUGCAUUGUUGCAUAAAUAUAUAUAUAUAAAUAUUUAUAUAUAUAAACCCUGUAGCAAACUGUUGGGAUAAUGCUGGCCGAUGAGUGUGUCUUUACUCGAUUGAAUGUCGCUUUUAAGAUUUUUCUUGAGAUUUCUCGUUGCUGUAUCAGCUCGAUCGAUCCAUCUGUGCUCAUUUUCUUUCAGCAAUGGCCGUUGCAAGUUCUCAGUGUUUCUCAUUUUACCUUUGUUUCCUCACUCCUCAGUAGUAAAGUGAACGGAAUUUUCUUUGCUCACGGGUUCUCAGCUCUUGGCCCCUCCCUGCACUUUUGGAUGCUUUUGUUGUGAUUCCGAGAAAAAAGUUUGGAAUCUUUGAAUUGGUUUUGGCCCAAAUGAUGGCUGCUAGAGCUUGCGCACUGGCAGCUUCCCUUUCCCUUCCUCUGCUCCCUGUCUUUCUAUUCCGGUGCUGCUCUGCUUUUUAACCCCACUGCCUUUGAAACGAUAAAGCAGAUGGUCUUUAAACAUGUCAUUUUCCUGUUGCUCAGAUGAGAGUACUGGUGAUUUUGUGAUAUUACCAGAUCUGCCUUCUUUUUUUUUCCUGUUUGUUAUAUCCUUAUGUAUUUAAAUGUUUUCCAGAGAAUCCAUCCUCGCCCUUGUUCUCUUCCCACAAAACUCCCAACUUUGACACUAUGCAAAAAGAAGAUUCCCCAUCACAUCAAACUUGCGGUACAUGCAUGGAGUACUAAAUGUAGACGAAAUCAAAAACUAUUUGCACAGUUUUGUUGUACUUUGCGAGACGAAUCUUUUGAGCCUAAUUAGUCAAUAUUUGGACAAUAAUUCACAAAUACAAACAAAACGCUACAGUGUUGCUACAGUAAUUUGACACCUCCCAAAUUCGCGAAGUAAACAAGGGCCUCGUAGCUAGACUGUAAGCAGCAUAAUAUGUUUAACCUUUUAGUGGUAUGACUGUGAGUUGUACUACUUACUGGUUCUGCAUUCAUCUCCACCCAUACUGAAUUGUUUAUUUUACAGAAUUGGAAUACAACUUUCUAUUUGAGAUAUUUUUAACAAUGUAUAGGGAGUUUCAGUUUUGAGAUACAGAGGAGUACUGCCCCAUGCCCCUUAUAUAGAUGGUCAUAUUUAGGCAGUUCUUUGUAGCCAAACAUCCGGAAAUGGUCAUCCUAAAAUUUGUUAGCCCAACCCUGCCAUGUUUAUCUUCUUUUAACUAGCAGUUUACUAAAAAAAAUGUUCUGUCAGUUUGGUCAACAUGUAACAACCUUCGUAUUAGUUAUUUAAUAUAGUUAUAUACGCUGCAUACACCAGUUCUGUGUUUCUCAAUCCAUACAAAUAUGAACUUUUUUUUUCUGUAUUUCCAUGCAUAGUAGAACUGAUGUUGGCUGUUUGACAGAUGUUGCACAAAUAGCACAUAUGUUUUAUCAAGCAAUAUAACUGCACAUAAUGAACACAUCUGCCUGAACUAGUACAUAAGGCUCAAUCCAUACAAGUUCUUCAUUUUCAGACGUUCUAAACGUCAGUUGGACAUGGCUUUCUGGAAGGCCUUCCUAAACUUUAUUGUCCUGCUCUUCUUCCAUAGGUGUGUUAGAUUGGAAGUUGGAACAAUAACUUGAUUUAAGGUUCAAGAGCAAACAAAACCAUGGAGAGGGAAAUCAUGACCUCCUAUGAAACCAAGAAGAACUGUGAAAUUAGGGUAUUUGAGAGUUCAGACGAGAUGGCAACAGAUCUGGCAGAGUUUAUUUCACAAGUUUCAGAAAUUUCUGUUAAGGAAAGAGGAUACUUUGCUAUUGCUCUCUGCGGAGGGCCUCUUAUCAGACAUAUGCGGUAAUGCUGUAUCCACAUCAAUUUCAUUAACUAUAUAUCAGUUUUCUGUUUUCAAAGGAAGCAAUAAAUCUAUAACUCUAUAUGUAUAUUCUUGUACGUGUCUGACGUCUCAACUGUUUUUUUCUUAAAAAGGAAGCUCUGUGAAGCACCAUACAACAAGACCCUUGAUUGGUCUAAAUGGUACAUCUUCUGGGCUGAAGAACGUGCAGUAGCAAAGAACCAUGCAGAGAGUAACUACAAAUUAGCAAAGGAAGGAUUUCUCUCCAAGGUAUAUCAACUUAAAACAUGACGUUCACUUAAUUUUCACGCAUUGAGUUUAUAAAUCACAACAGUUUUUUUUAUUUCACAGAGAUUAUGUAUCUACCAAUUUUCAUUCUUAUCUUUUUACCUCAAUAAAUUAGGGUCGGAGACGUGUUCAUUGGUCAGCUUAUUUGUUGCUGUAUCAAGAAAGCUGUUCUUUGUCUGACAUAUGCUUUUGUUUGACUUAGGAUGUGGCCUACUCUGUAGUCUGUACAGCUCAUGCGAAAUCCUUUUCUGAAUAAUUAAGCCACAUUAAGGCUGCCUACCUACUGAUUGUUCCAACUACUCUCGGAGUGCCAGCUGCUUCGCAUAUCUUUCGACCUUGCAAAAAAUUCUUCACACAUCUUUUUAUUGUUAUGCCCAACAAUUUUAUCAAGUUUAAAGCUUAUCCAUAUGGCUGCACUUUAUCAGGAUAGGAUUGCUGUUUGUCAGUGGAUAUCAUACGAGACUAGCAUGAUAGUGAACUCAAGGAGCUUACAUCAAAUUUUGGAUUACCUUUUUACUUGAAAAUUGCUAGUCAUCCUCAUCUGAUCAAACUUUGCUGCUCAUGUGUUCAUGCAUAUGAAAGCUUUUUUUUUUCAAGAACACGCAGAAGGGCAUAUUAGGGCCUUCAAAAUGAGCAGAUACUUUUUUACAAUUGUCAAGGAAGGAUGCUACAAGUGGGUGUGUAAACUGUAAACAACUAGCAAUGUUUCACUGAACAUCUCUACUGUCGUAUUGGAACAAUAUGCAUUAUUUAUCCACCUUUCUAACUGCAUUUACAUCUAGUAUGUGGAUCCUGUAUAUAUGUUUGUUUUGUUUAGCUCACGUUCACAAGCACUUGAUGUAGGUUUGUAAAGCAUGGCUUGGAUUGUUUUCUUGUAAGACUGUUAUGAACCAUUACAGCUUGUCUGCUCCCCGUUUCCAUUGGGUUAACCAUGAGUCUGCAUCUGAAUGACUUGUAGGUGCCUAUUCUUAAUGGUCAUGUCUACUCCAUCAACGACAACGCAACGGUGGAACAGGCUGCAACUGACUAUGAAUUUGUCAUCAGGCAGCUGGUCAAGGUUCGAACAGUUGGAGUCUCAGAGAGCAACGACUGCCCCAAAUUUGACCUCAUUCUUCUGAACAUUGGUCCUGAUGGUCAUGUAGCCUCAUUGUUCCCCAACCAUCCAGCUCUUGAGCUGAAAGAUGACUGGGUCACCUACAUCACCGAUUCUCCAGAGCCUCCACCUGAGAGGAUUACCUUCACUCUCCCUGUGAUAAACUCGGCAUUGAACAUUGCUAUUGUUGCCACUGGAGAAGACAAGGAAAAGGCUGUGUCUUUUGCUAUUUCUGACUGCAACGAAAGCCUAGGUGCUACAUCAGUACCUGCUACAAUGGUUCAGCCAACUGACGGGAAGUUGGUAUGGUUUCUGGAUGAGGCGGCUGCCUCAUCCCUUGAAGCUGGGAACGAUGCUUACGAGCACCAGUACUGAGACAAGUGUUGGACCUGGACAUCCUUCUGCUUCUUCUUCUUCUUCUUCUUCCUUUUGCUGUGAAUGUAGAGUUGUUCAUGUCGUUGAUGUGUUUGGAUGGGAGAAGUUUUGGGGAGCACUUAGAUCUGAUUUCUGAGAAGUCGAAAAAAUGAUGCAACAUGUAUUUUAUGCCGAGAACUGAAGUACCAGAGUAGCUAAGUUCGAACGUUGGUCAUAUGAUACUGUUUAGUGUUGCCUCAGUUUUAUCAUAUUCCUUUUUAUGAUAUUUUCUAGCGGGUAGCAGUAUUUUUGCUGGAUAUAUUGGAAUCCUGAGCCUAAGAUGCAUUUCAAUUAAGUUGUCCUCUGGCUAAAUUUUGCUCUGAUCGUUUCAAAUUUGGAAAUUUAUUAUUGCUUGGAACCUUUAUGUUGUAGGAUAGGAUAGGUCUGGAGACCCGUGUUGGAGCCCUGAGCCCUCCAUCUUGUUAGAUCAAAGGACGGGUUCCUGCAGAAUGCAAACAUUCCGGUUACAUAAAUUUUUCACUAGUAUUUCAGGCCAUGCCCAUAGUAUUUCACUAAAAGGAGUUCAACCGGAGUCUGACCAAGAAAGGUCGCGGAAGCUGGCCUUCCUCGUACAUGGAGAUGCUUCACCCAUGCUGACCAGGACGAGAACCAACGAGUGAAUUUUUUUACCCAGCUUAAAAUUCGCUUCUACGAGGAUUCGAACUUAGAACCUAGGAUGCUAGUAAGGUCACUACAACCAUUAGGAUACACGCCCCUUCACAAAAUAGUUUCUAUAUUAUUAAUUGCAUUGCCACGUAUGAUUUUUAGUUUACAUGGCACUAUAUUGAAUAAGAGAUAUCUCUUCUAAGAGUAAUAUAAUGCUCUCGGGGGACAUGCUCACAUGCAGAUGGCAUCAGCUGAUCAGCACAAGAUCACCAACGAACUAUUCCAGAUGGAGAUGAGUGUUAAGAUAUGCUUUGUAUCUCUGAAUAUAUGAGGUUGUUAGGAAGGUCGGAUUUUCUGAUUUCUAAGUCAGGGUACAGUUCGUUCCUGAAACUAAUUACAGAGCUGUGCUUUGCCUUGUGCACGCAGGUACCUGAUUUUCCUAGCUGAGGAAAAGGCCGCUGCGGUUGGCACCAAGGCAUGUUUAUGCUCAUGUCACAUACUUUGCCUCUCUUUUUCUGUUCUGGGUGCAUUGUACACUGCUGAAGUAGAGUUAUAAUUGUUUGCACACUGAAUACUUUUGUUCUUGCUUGCUUGUUUGACAGAAUUCCAAACCUUCCUGAAGAUGUGUAGAAACAACUUGAAGACCCGGAUAGCAGGUGGCGUGCCUAGUCAAGAAUUUUUGUUUUAAUGUCCCCAUCUGAAAGCUCCCAGCUAGUACUGAUGUUUGUGCGCAAGAAACAUUCGAUAAACCCUCAAUGUGACUUCUAUCAGUUUCUUCAUUUGAAACUUUUUUCCCUUGACUCAAAUGGUGCAAACUCGUACUACGGGUAAUAACAACCAAACUACAGCCAAAAUAUGUCCAGAAAUAGUGAGUGAAUUGGAGAACAUAAACCGAUACAUAAAGGCUGACCACAUCGAUACAAAGACCAACAGCAUUUGACGAAGUUUAGACAUCCAUUUUUCUCCAGAGUCUAAGCUUAUCUUACUGGGCAACCAAAAGUCUUCCUUACAUCAAUCAUUGUUACUACUAAAUUAGUCCAAAUAGUUAUGGGGGUGGAGAACAACACUUGCUCACGAUGACCCAUCUUUUAUAGGAACUAGUCCAAAGCUAUUGCAUCUCCAUCUUCAGCGACAGAUUCACCAUCAUAAUGCUCUCGUGCUUUAAUCUUCAUCUUGCUUGAACAGUCCUCCCUGACUGUUUCAGAGUCCCUCCAAGUUACUAUUGGAUAGCUCUAGGAUCUCAUAGUAGAGACGUUGAAUAUUUCAAUUGGAAUUCGGCUGUGCUAAUAAAUCUGUCAAUGCUUCCAAGUGUGCCAACAAAUCUGAAGGCAUUCGUGUCGAAAUCCAAUCCAAAUCUCUAAGAUUUGCUAUAGUCAUUGGGAUCGAACCACAGAAUUUGUCUCUAACAGAGAAAGAAUGCAAACUCUUAAGCAUACUGAGGUGGGAAGAGUUCCUGUGAAAUAAUUAUCACUAAGAUCAAGAUUAUGUAAGCUGAUGAAAUUACUUAUAUCUUUUGAUAUGUUGCCUCCUGCCUGGAACUUCAUCGAUUGAAAUAGAUAGAAAUGUUUUAACUGAAAGAUCAAAAAAUUGGUGCACCCUCCCAUAGCUGCAGGGAUGCUUCCAUGGAGAGCAUUUGUGCUCAGGUUCAGCAUCCGAAGCCUGCUGAGUUGACCGAGCUCCUAAGCUAUCUGCCCAACAAAUUGGUUGAUAAAUGAAGAUCUGUUUGGAUCAUAUUUAUUGGGUGAAGAAACUCCCCCUCCGUCUACUAACACUUAUGAGGUCAAGAAGAAGAAUAAGAAGCAAAGACAUAAUAGGAAAAGGAAGGAGGAGCAACCGAAACCAGUGGCUGAGCCGUUGGACCCUGAGUCACCACUAGGAGUAGAGCUUCCACAGUGGCACCGCGCUCUUCUUAAUCCAUCGGAUGAACUAUGUCACUACCUCAAAAACUAGGUGAUUUGUUACAUUUGCAUUGCUUGUUCGUUACCUUUGCAUUGCUUGUUUGUUACCUCUACAUUGCUUGUCCACUUGUUCUACUCCUUACCAUGUCCCUUCACCCGUUGGAAACAGGGUUCUACAGGAGAUGCCACAUGCAGAGGAGACGCUACGCAUAGAUUUCACUCAUUUUUUAUCUCAGAAUGCGGAGCUCACGUGCACCAUCUGCAAUGCCAAAGAGAAACAUGAAGUUGAAUGGUUAGGAACUUGUACAGUUCACAUUUGAUGCACCAUGAGAGUUUCAAUUUUUAUGUUGUUGACCAUUUCUUUUUAUUGCAGGGUUAAUUCAUAGGUGGCCUCAGCUCUUAAAGAUUUGUGUGAGAAGAAUGGACUACCUACACCAGAAUACCAGUUUAUUCGCAAGCCUAAUUGGUGAGAUGAUGGUUCAACCUUGUUCUAUUUUGUUACUAUGAGUGACACAAAAUUUCUAUGGUAUCUUAAUGUCAUGUAUCAUAUGGUAAUGUUAGUUGCCUUGUUAUAUUUUUUUACCAUGAGUGGUUUCUAAGUAUAUUUUCUUAUAAGGCAGUUGAUUUCCACUAAAAGAGAUUCCAGGUUCUCACCACAAAACCUUCAAAACAAUUAGGCUAUUUAAAAGAGCUGACCGGGUCAUGGUUAAAGUAGCAACAUCUCGUGGGAAGAAAUUUUUUUGGCCCUCCUUGGAGUGAUAUUGAUGAUGCUUUAAGAUGGAUACAUUUGGGAUGGAAAACUUUAUCUUAAUGAUAUUUAUUGGACUGAGUUUACUGGGUUGGUUCAGAUCCAGGUUCUUAGAAGGCCAACAAAAGAAUUUGUCAAAACUGAGCAGUUAAUAUCAGAUAUAAAGAGUAUUUAGACUAAUAUGAUGGGCCCUUAUUUUGAGGAUAAAGAUGAAACACUUCCCAUAUUGAGCGUGAGGAUGCUCGUGACUAUCCUAUUCUUAGCAGAACCUUAAACUAUAGGAAGAAUCUCAAGAAAACACCCGACGGUGCCCAUGAGGUGAGAAUAGCAACUAAACUGGGUAAUGAGAUACAAUGGGAAAUCUACAGCAAACCACAAAGAGUUAUUGUGCAUCAUGUGGCUGUUCAAGCUGGUGCCAUUUCAGAUCAACUCAAAGCGGCUGUUGGAGAUGAGGUGGCUGUUGGAGUUGGAGAUGAGGUUGCUAUCGGAGAUGAUGAGGUGGCUGUUGGAGUUGGAGAUGAGGUUGCUGCUGGUGAUGAUGAGGUGAGUGUUGGGGAGAAAGACAGUAAGGAAAAUGAUGAUGAUGAUGAUAAGAUGAGUGUUGAGGAGAAAGACAAUAAGAAAAAUGAUGAUGAUGAUGAUGAUGAUGAUGACGACGAUGACGAUGAUGAUGAAGACUAUAAAGAGGAAAGGGUAGAUUUGGUGCGGUUCGUCAAGAACUCCAUUUCACAUAUAUCUGAUAGCAAUAUCAAAGUGUUAAUUGUUGAUGACUCAGAGAUCUUAACUGCUAGUGUAUUUGGUGAUCUUGUGUCAGAUCUAAUCAAAUGGGUGUUAAGAGCAAUAUUUAGCUGAUGAAAUUACUUAUAUCUUUUGAUAUGUUGCCUCCUGCCUGGAACUUCAUUGAUUGAAAUAGAUAGAAAUGUUUGAAUUGAAAGAUCCAAAAAUUGGUGCACCCUCCCAUGGCUGCAGGGAUGCUUCCAUGGAGAGCAUUUGUGCUCAGGUUCAGCAUCCGAAGCCUGCUGAGUUGACCGAGCUCCUGAGCUAUCUGCCCAACAAAUUGGUUGAUAAAUGAAGAUCUAUUUGGAUCAUAUUUAUUGGGUGAAGAAACUCCCCCUCCGUCUACUAACACUUAUGAGGUCAAGAAGAAGAAUAAGAAGCAAAGACAUAAUAGGAAAAGGAAGGAGGAGCAACCGAAACCAGUGGCCGAGCCGUUGGACCCUGAGUCACCACUAGGAGUAGAGCUUCCACAGUGGCACCACGCUCUUCUUAAUCCAUCGGAUGAACUAUGUCACUACCUCAAAAACUAGGUGAUUUGUUACAUUUGCAUUGCUUGUUCGUUACCUUUGCAUUGCUUGUUUGUUACCUCUACAUUGCUUGUCCACUUGUUCUACUCCUUACCAUGUCCCUUCACCCGUUGGAAACAGGGUUCUACAGGAGAUGCCACAUGCAGAGGAGACGCUACGCAUAGAUUUCACUCAUUUUUUAUCUCAGAAUGCGGAGCUCACGUGCACCAUCUGCAAUGCCAAAGAGAAACAUGAAGUUGAAUGGUUAGGAACUUGUACAGUUCACAUUUGAUGCACCAUGAGAGUUUCAAUUUUUAUGUUGUUGACCAUUUCUUUUUAUUGCAGGGUUAAUUCAUAGGUGGCCUCAGCUCUUAAAGAUUUGUGUGAGAAGAAUGGACUACCUACACCAGAAUACCAGUUUAUUCGCAAGCCUAAUUGGUGAGAUGAUGGUUCAACCUUGUUCUAUUUUGUUACUAUGAGUGACACAAAAUUUCUAUGGUAUCUUAAUGUCAUGUAUCAUAUGGUAAUGGUAGUUGCCUUGUUAUAUUUUUUUACCAUGAGUGGUUUCUAAGUAUAUUUUCUUAUAAGGCAGUUGAUUUCCACUAAAAGAGAUUCCAGGUUCUCACCACAAAACCUUCAAAACAAUUAGGCUAUUUAAAAGAGCUGACCGGGUCAUGGUUAAAGUAGCAACAUCUCGUGGGAAGAAAUUUUUUUGGCCCUCCUUGGAGUGAUAUUGAUGAUGCUUUAAGAUGGAUACAUUUGGGAUGGAAAACUUUAUCUUAAUGAUAUUUAUUGGACUGAGUUUACUGGGUUGGUUCAUAUCCAGGUUCUUAGAAGGCCAACAAAAGAGAAUGUCAAAACUGAGCAGUUAAUAUCAGAUAUAAAGAGUAUUUAGACUAAUAUGAUGGGCCCUUAUUUUGAGGAUAAAGAUGAAACACUUCCCAUAUUGAGAGUGAGGAUGCUCGUGAGUAUCCUAUUCUUAGCAGAACCUUAAACUACAGGAAGAAUCUCAAGAAAACACCCGACGGUGCCCAUGAGGUGAGAAUAGCAACUAAACUGGGUAAUGAGAUACAAUGGAAAAUCUACAGCAAACCACAAAGAGUUAUUGUGCAUCAUGUGGCUGUUCAAACUAGUGCCAUUUCUGAUCAACUCAAAGCGGCUGUUGGAGAUGAGGUGCUGUUGGAGUUGGAGAUGAGGUUGCUAUCGGAGAUGAUGAGGUGGCUGUUGGAGUUGGAGAUGAGGUUGCUGCUGGUGAUGAUGAGGUGAGUGUUGGGGAGAAAGACAGUAAGGAAAAUGAUGAUGAUGAUGAUAAGAUGAGUGUUGAGGAGAAAGACAAUAAGAAAAAUGAUGAUGAUGAUGAUGAUGAUGAUGACGACGAUGACGAUGAUGAUGAAGACUAUAAAGAGGAAAGGGUAGAUUUGGUGCGGUUCGUCAAGAACUCCAUUUCACAUAUAUCUGAUAGCAAUAUCAAAGUGUUAACUGUUGAUGACUCAGAGAUCUUAACUGCUAGUGUAUUUGGUGAUCUUGUGUCAGAUCUAAUCAAAUGGGUGUUAAGAGCAAUAUUUAGCUGAUGAAAUUACUUAUAUCUUUUGAUAUGUUGCCUCCUGCCUGGAACUUCAUUGAUUGAAAUAGAUAGAAAUGUUUGAAUUGAAAGAUCGAAAAAUUGGUGCACCCUCCCAUGGCUGCAGGGAUGCUUCCAUGGAGAGCAUUUGUGCUCAGGUUCAGCAUCCGAAGCCUGCUGAGUUGACCGAGCUCCUGAGCUGUCUGCCCAACAAAUUGGUUGAUUAAUGAAGAUCUGUUUGGAUCAUAUUUACUGGGUGAAGAAACUCCCUCUCCCUCUACUAACACUUAUGAGGUCAAGAAGAAGAAUAAGAAGCAAAGACAGAAUAGGAAAAGGAAGAAGGAGGAGCAACCGAAACCUGUGGCCGAGCCGUUGGAUCCUGAGUCACCACCAUGAGUAGAGCUUCCACAGUGGCACUGCCCUCUUCUUAAUCCAUCGGAUGAACUGUGUCACUACCUCAAAAACUAGGUGAUUUGUUACAUUUGCAUUGGUUGUUCGUUACCUUAGCACUGCUUGUUCGUUACCUCUGCAUUGCUUGUUUGUUACCUCUGCAUUGCUUGUCCACUUAUUCUACUCCUUACCAUGUCCCUUCACCCGUUGGAAACAGGGUUCUACAGGAGAUGCCACAUGCAGAGGAGACGUUACGCAUAGAUUUCACUCAUUUUUUAUCUCAGAAUGCGGAGCUCACGUGCACCAUCUGCAAUGCCAAAGAGAAACAGGAAGUUGAAUGGUUAGGAACUUGUACAGUUCACAUUUGAUGCACCAUGAGAGUUUCAAUUUUUAUGUUGUUGAUCAUUUCUUUUUGUUGCAGGGUUAAUUCAUAGGUGGGCUCAGCUCUUAAAGAUUUGUGUGAGAAAAAUGGACUACCUACACCAGAUUACUAGUUUAUUCGCAAGCCUAAUUGGUGAGAUGAUGGUUCAACCUUACUCUAUUUUGUUACUAUGAGUGACACAUAAUUUUUCUGGUGUCUUAAUGUCAUGUUUCUAUGGUAAUGGUAGUUGCCUUGUUAUAUUUUUUACCAUGAGUGGUUUCUAAGUAUAUUUUCUUAUAACGUAGUUGAUUUCCACUAAAAGAGAUUCCAGGUUCUCACCACAAACCCUUCAAAACAAUUAGGCUAUUUAAAAGAGCUGAUCGGGUCAUGGUUAAAGUAGCAACAUCUCGUGGGAAGAAAAUUUUUUGGGCCCUCCUUGGAGUGAUAUUGAUGAUGCUUUAAGAUGGAUACAUUUGGGAUGGAAAACUUUAUCUUAAUGAUAUUUAUUGGACUGAGUUUACUGGGUUGGUUCAUAUCCAGGUUCUUAGAAGGCCAACAAAAGAGAAUGUCAAAACUGAGCAGUUAAUAUCAGAUAUAAAGAGUAUUUGGACUAAUAUGAUGGACCCUUAUUUUGAGGAUAAAGAUGAAACACUUCCCAUAUUGAGCGUGAGGAUGCUCGUGACUAUCCUAUUCUUAGCAGAACCUUAAACUACAGGAAGAAUCUCAAGAAAACACCCGACGGUGCCCAUGAGGUGAGAAUAGCAACUAAACUGGGUAAUGAGAUACAAUGGAAAAUCUACAGCAAACCACAAAGAGUUAUUGUGCAUCAUGUGGCUGUUCAAGCUGGUGCCAUUUCAGAUCAACUCAAAGCGGCUGUUGGAGAUGAGGUGGCUGUUGGAGUUGGAGAUGAGGUUGCUAUCGGAGAUGAUGAGGUGGCUGUUGGAGUUGGAGAUGAGGUUGCUGCUGGUGAUGAUGAGGUGAGUGUUGGGGAGAAAGACAGUAAGGAAAAUGAUGAUGACGAUGAUAAGAUGAGUGUUGAGGAGAAAGACAAUAAGAAAAAUGAUGAUGAUGAUGAUGACGACGACGACGACGACGACGAUGAUGAUGAAGACUAUAAAGAGGAAAGGGUAGAUUUGGUGCGGUUCGUCAAGAACUCCAUUUCACAUAUAUCUGAUAGCAAUAUCAAAGUGUUAACUGUUGAUGACUCAGAGAUCUUAACUGCUAGUGUAUUUGGUGAUCUUGUGUCAGAUCUAAUCAAAUGGGUGUUAAGAGCAAUAUUUAGCUGAUGAAAUUACUUAUAUCUUUUGAUAUGUUGCCUCCUGCCUGGAACUUCAUUGAUUGAAAUAGAUAGAAAUGUUUGAAUUGAAAGAUCGAAAAAUUGGUGCACCCUCCCAUGGCUGCAGGGAUGCUUCCAUGGAGAGCAUUUGUGCUCAGGUUCAGCAUCCGAAGCCUGCUGAGUUGACCGAGCUCCUGAGCUGUCUGCCCAACAAAUUGGUUGAUUAAUGAAGAUCUGUUUGGAUCAUAUUUACUGGGUGAAGAAACUCCCUCUCCCUCUACUAACACUUAUGAGGUCAAGAAGAAGAAUAAGAAGCAAAGAUAGAAUAGGAAAAGGAAGAAGGAGGAGCAACCGAAACCUGUGGCCGAGCCGUUGGAUCCUGAGUCACCACCAUGAGUAGAGCUUCCACAGUGGCACUGCCCUCUUCUUAAUCCAUCGGAUGAACUGUGUCACUACCUCAAAAACUAGGUGAUUUGUUACAUUUGCAUUGGUUGUUCGUUACCUUAGCACUGCUUGUUCGUUACCUCUGCAUUGCUUGUUUGUUACCUCUGCAUUGCUUGUCCACUUAUUCUACUCCUUACCAUGUCCCUUCACCCGUUGGAAACAGGGUUCUACAGGAGAUGCCACAUGCAGAGGAGACGUUACGCAUAGAUUUCACUCAUUUUUUAUCUCAGAAUGCGGAGCUCACGUGCACCAUCUGCAAUGCCAAAGAGAAACAGGAAGUUGAAUGGUUAGGAACUUGUACAGUUCACAUUUGAUGCACCAUGAGAGUUUCAAUUUUUAUGUUGUUGAUCAUUUCUUUUUGUUGCAGGGUUAAUUCAUAGGUGGGCUCAGCUCUUAAAGAUUUGUGUGAGAAAAAUGGACUACCUACACCAGAUUACCAGUUUAUUCGCAAGCCUAAUUGGUGAGAUGAUGGUUCAACCUUACUCUAUUUUGUUACUAUGAGUGACACAUAAUUUUUCUGGUGUCUUAAUGUCAUGUUUCUAUGGUAAUGGUAGUUGCCUUGUUAUAUUUUUUACCAUGAGUGGUUUCUAAGUAUAUUUUCUUAUAACGUAGUUGAUUUCCACUAAAAGAGAUUCCAGGUUCUCACCACAAACCCUUCAAAACAAUUAGGCUAUUUAAAAGAGCUGAUCGGGUCAUGGUUAAAGUAGCAACAUCUCGUGGGAAGAAAAUUUUUUGGGCCCUCCUUGGAGUGAUAUUGAUGAUGCUUUAAGAUGGAUACAUUUGGGAUGGAAAACUUUAUCUUAAUGAUAUUUAUUGGACUGAGUUUACUGGGUUGGUUCAUAUCCAGGUUCUUAGAAGGCCAACAAAAGAGAAUGUCAAAACUGAGCAGUUAAUAUCAGAUAUAAAGAGUAUUUGGACUAAUAUGAUGGACUCUUAUUUUGAGGAUAAAGAUGAAACACUUCCCAUAUUGAGCGUGAGGAUGCUCGUGACUAUCCUAUUCUUAGCAGAACCUUAAACUACAGGAAGAAUCUCAAGAAAACACCCGACGGUGCCCAUGAGGUGAGAAUAGCAACUAAACUGGGUAAUGAGAUACAAUGGAAAAUCUACAGCAAACCACAAAGAGUUAUUGUGCAUCAUGUGGCUGUUCAAACUAGUGCCAUUUCUGAUCAACUCAAAGCGGCUGUUGGAGAUGAGGUGCUGUUGGAGUUGGAGAUGAGGUUGCUAUCGGAGAUGAUGAGGUGGCUGUUGGAGUUGGAGAUGAGGUUGCUGUUGGUGAUGAUGAGGUGAGUGUUGGGGAGAAAGACAGUAAGGAAAAUGAUGAUGAUGAUGAUAAGAUGAGUGUUGAGGAGAAAGACAAUAAGAAAAAUGAUGAUGAUGAUGAUGAUGACGACGACGACGACGACGACGAUGAUGACGACUAUAAAGAGGAAAUGGUAGAUUUGGUGCGGUUCGUCAAGAACUCCAUUUCACAUAUAUCUGAUAGCAAUAUCAAAGUGUUAACUGUUGAUGACUCAGAGAUCUUAACUGCUAGUGUAUUUGGUGAUCUUGUGUCAGAUCUAAUCAAAUGGGUGUUAAGAGCAAUAUUUAGCUCAUCGGAGGAGGAGUACCUGAAGAGGUACUUUGUGCAUUGCCUUUUAUUCUGUUCCCCCCUAUUUUGUUCUUGUUCUCGCCCUAGCACCCCUCUUGGAGCCUGCUUUGUGGUAAUUGCUGCGGCUGCAAGAAGCACAACUGCUGUUGCAGCAAUCACCACAAAUUCUUCUAUUUGUUUUCCAUUUGGAUAGUUUACUUUCUUAUUUUUUUACUCCUUUUCUUUGGUAUCUAAGAGGGUCUUCCAUUUUUCCUUGCAUUUUUUAGGGUUACGGACGUGUGGAGUGCCUAUGCAGCCUGUGUUGACAACCAGGAAAAGUAUUGAAGCCAGUUAAGCAAAGCAACCUUAACUUACUGCGCACCUUGUCACCUUCACUUAUUUCUUUUCGUCAUAGCAGAUCUUUAACACUAGUGACAGACUAUUAGACCAGUGAAGCAGACUGACCCCUGCGAGCCACUCUGCCUUGCAAUUGCUUAUUUUUGGCAUGGCAGAUCUUUAACACUAGUGCAGCUGUAGGAUCCGUUAACUUGCUGCAUGGAUUAUGAGUAUUAACCUAUUAUUUUUUGUUAACAUGCUGUAUUCUUGUAUGCACUAUGUUUCUUGGGCAUCUUGGCCUGAUGCUUGCUGCUACUUAAGCUCUGGUGCUUGGUUGACAAGAUUAUUUAGAUUUCAUAAUAAUUGCUGUAUUCAUCCCUCCCAAGUUACUAUUGGAUAGCUCUAGAAUCUCAGAGUAGAGACGCUGAAUAUUUCAAUUGGAAUUCGGCUGUGCCAACAAAUUUGUCAAUGCUUCCAAGUGUGCCAACAAAUAUGAAGGCAUUCGUGUCGAAUUCCAAUCCAAAUCUGUAAGAUUUGCUAUGGUCAUUAGGAUCCAACCACAGAAUUUGUCUCUAUACAGAGAAAGAAUGCAAACUCUUUAGCCUACCGAAGAGGGAAGAGUUCCUGUGAAAUAAUUAUCACUAAGAUCAAGAUUAUGUAAGCUGAUAAAAUUACCUAUAUCUUUAGGUAUGUUGCCUCUUGCCUGGAACUUCAUCGACUGAAAUAGAUAGAAAUGUUUGAAUUAAAACAUCGGAAAAUCUGUGCACCCUCCCAUGGCCACACGGAUGCCUCCAAGGAGAGCAUUUGUGCUCAUGUUCAGCAUCUAAUGCCUGCUGAGUUGACCGAGCUCCUGAGGUAUCUGCCCAACAAAUUGGUUGACAAAUGAAGAUCCGUUUGGAUCCUGUUUGUUGGGUGAAGAAACUCCUCCUCCCUCUACUGACACUUAUGAGACCAUGGAGAAGAAUAAGAAGCAAAGGCACAACAGGAAAAUGAAGAAUGAGGAGAUAUCGAAUCCUAUGCCUGAGCCAUUGGACCCUGAGUCACCACCAGGAGUAGAGCUUCCACAGUGGUACUGCCCUAUUCUUAAUCCAUCGGAUGAACUGUGUCACUACCUCGAAAACAAGGUGAUUUGUUACAUUUGCAUUGCUUGUUUGUUAGCUUAGCACUGCUUGUCUGAGUUUAGAGAGUUGGUUCAGAUCUAGGUUCUUAGGAGGCCAACAAAAGAGAAUGUCAAAACUGAGUAGUUAAUAUCAGAUAUAAAGAGUAUUUAGACUAAUAUGGUUGGCCCUUAUUUCGGUUCAAUGUGAAACACUUCCCAUAUACUUUGCAAGGCUCAAAAAUGAUCUCCCGAAGGGUGUCGAAAGUUUUAUUGGAUCAAAAUGGUAUUUAGAUUACCUUCUCUACCACCCAGCAUUUGCUUCACCAUCAGCAAGACACAAUUUUAUACUUGAAAUACAUUUAGUUUCGAAAUACUUUCGUUUCAAGAACAGUUCGCUCUUAAUGAAUCUUUUUACAGAGGUACCCAAAUAGAUUUGGUGUGAGGAUGCUUAUGAGUAUCCUAUUCUUAGCAGAACCAUAAACUAUAGAAAGAAUCUCAAGAAAAAUCUGACGGUGUGCAAUAAGGAAAAGAAGGUGAGAAUAACAACUAAACUAGGUAAUGAGAUAGAAUGGGAAAGCUACAGCAAACCACACAGAGUUAUUGUGCAUCAUGUGGCUGUUCAAUCUGAUACCAUUUCAGAUCAACUGAAAAGCGGAUGUUAGAGAUGAGAUGGCUGUUGGAGUUGGAGAUGAGGUUGCUGUCGGAGAUGAUCAGGUGACUGUUGGAGUUGGAGAUGAGGUUGCUGCUGGUGUUGAUGAGGUGGGUGUUCGGAGAAAGACAGUAAGAAAAAUAAUGAUGAUGAUAAGAUGAGCGUUGGGGAGAAAGACAAUAAGGACAAUGAUGAUGAUGAUGAUGAUGAUGAUGAUGAUGAUGAUGAUGAUGAUGAUGGUGACGACUAUAAAGAGGAAAUGUUAGAUUUGGUGCGGUUCAUUAACAACUCCAUUUUACAUAUACCUGAUAGCAACAUCAAAGUGUUAACUCUUGAUGACCCGAAAAUUUAAGUGUUAGUGUAUUUUGUGAUAUUGUGUCUAAUCUAAUCAAAUGGGUGUUAAUAGAAAUAUUUAGCUCGUCGGAGGAGGAGUACCUGAUGAGGUACUAUUUGCGUUGACUUUUAUUUUGUUUCCCCACUAAUUUUUUCUUGUUCUUACCAUAGCCUCCCAGUUGGAGCCUGCUUUGUGGUGAUGGCUGCAGCUGCAGCAAGCACAACUGCUAUUGCAGCAAUCACCACCAAUUCUUCUAUUUGUUUUCUAUUUGGAUAGUUUACUUUCUAAUUUUUUACUCCUUUUCUUUGGUAUCUAUUACUCUUCCAUUUUUCCUGGCAUUUUACAGGGUUACGGACGUGUGGAGUGCCUAUGCAGCCUGUGUUGACAACCAAGAAAAGUAUUGAAGCCAGUUAAGCAAAGCAGCCUUCACUUAUUGCGCACCUCGUCGUCUUCACUUAUUUCUUUUUGUCAUAGUAGAUCUUUAACUCUAGUGAUAGACUGUUAGACCAGUAAAGCAUACUGACCCUUGCGAGCCUUUCUACCUUGCAAUUGCUUAUUUUUGGCAUGGCAGAUCAUUAGCACUAGCGCACCUGUGGGAUUUGUUAACCUGCUGCAUGGAUUAUGAGUGUUAACAAAUUCUUUGUUGUUAACCCGCUAUAUUGCUGUAUGCACUAUGUUUCUUGGGCAUCUUGGCCUGAUGCUUGCUGCUACUUAAGCUUUGGUGCUUGGCUGACAAGAUUAUUUAGAUUUCAUAAUACUUGCUGUAUUGAUCCCUCCCAAGUUACUAUUGGAUAGCUCUAGGACCUCAGAGUAGAGACGCUGAAUAUUUCAAUUGGAAUUCGGCUGUGCCUUUAAAUCUGUCAAUGCUUCCAAGUGUGCCAACAAAUCACAAGGCAUUCAUGUCGAAAUCCAAUUCAAAUUUCUAAGAUUUGCUAUGAUCAUUAGGAUCGAACCACAGAAUUUGUCUCUAUAUAGAGAAAUAAUGCAAACUCUUAAGCUUACUAAGGUGGGAAGAGUUCCUGUGAAAUAAUUAUCACUAAGAUCAAGAUUAUGUAAGCUGAUGAAAUUACUUAUAUCUUGUUAUAUGUUGCCUUCUACCUGGAACUUCAUCGAUUGAAAUAGAUAGAAAUGCUUGAAUUGAAAGAUCGAAAAAUUGGUGGACCCUCAUAUGGCUGCAGGGAUGCUUCCACGGAGAGCAUUUGUGCUCAGGUUCAGCAUCCGAAGCCAGCUGAGUUGACCGAGCUUCUGAGGUAUCUGCCCUACAAAAUGGUUGAUAAAUGAAGAUCCGUUUGGAUCCUGUUUGUUGGGUGAAGAAACUCCCCCUUCCUCUACUGACACUUAUGAGACCAUGGAGAAGAAUAAGAAGCAAAGGCAGAACAGGAAAAGAAAGA